ACAAACGUUAAAUAUAUUGUAAAAUAAUAGGCUAUUCUAAUAGAAGACUAAAUUAAAAUUGAAUUAAAAUAAGCGGGAUAAUUUGAAAAUAGAAGAAAUCCCAAAAUAAGGACCAGCGCGCAACAUGUGCUAAUGCGCAAGGACCAAAUCUGGAAAUAUUCCAGACCCCAAAACGCAGCAUCGAAGCGCGAACCAGAUCGAAUUCAUGCACAAAUUAUAGGAAACAUUUAGAAAUUAAUGAGACACCGUUAUAAGCUAAUUGAAAUGCGGCGCGAAAGGGGAGGGACUUAUAUCGGAAAUAACCCAUUUGAAUCACAAAGGCGCGGGUUUGGGUUCUGGAAUGGGUCGACGCGCGGAUCCCCUCCCCCCUAAACGACGUCGUUUCGUUUUGUUAUCAAAACUAAAAAAAUGAAUGGUAAUCUGCUAUUCUCUUCAGCAAUUGAAUCAAAACCCUAAUCCCUCAUGUUUUUCCUCGCUUGGCCGACAAAAGAACCAAAACCUUAGCCAUUUUGAUUCUCAUCGGAUCUAACCGAAAAACUCACACUCAUCACCAUGACACCACUGUAUUUGAUGAUUGGCGAUGAAUAUAUGCCCCUCUUUUACACCGUUUGAAACCACAACUCGUGGAUUACCGAUUUUAACUUUGAAAUCCCAUAUCAAGCUCCGAUCGCGACGAAGGAGAUAGUGACUCCGACGGUGUAUUUUCGAUGGUAAACCCUUCCUCCUCUGUAUUUUUAUGCGAAAACAAAAAUAUACAGGACAAAAAAAAAGGCAAAUCGCAAAAACUAAAGAAAAAAAAUCACCUUCUAAUUUUUUUGGAUUGCUUUUCUUGUAUUUCGUUUGCCUAUUUUCAAUGUGUGUGUAAAAAAUUUACAAUGGCAGUAUUCUUGGCUUUAUAGCCGAAACAGAGUAAAAACCGAAAAAAGAAAAUACAAAUCGAUUGGUUCUGCCUCUUUGCUGUGCUGUUGUUGUCUGUUUCUUCGCAGGUACGGAGCCCCGUUGGAGCGGUGGUACGUGGCGCUUGGCGUGGGGCGUACGGGGGCUGUGUGCUGGAGGCUGCUGAAGCGUUAGAGGCUAAGGGCUGCGGCGCUAGGAAACCCUAGGUUUCCGUUUGGCUGAACCUAGGUCUAGGUUUUGGGCCAUUGGGCCUUUUAGGCAUUGGGUUAUUUGAUUAGGCUAGGUUGUUUUGUAAAUGGGCUUGUAACUGGGCUAUUGGGUCUGAUAUGUAAUGGACUGAUAAUUAGAUUUUUUAUUAUUUGGUUUUUUUUAUAUUUUGUAUUUUGGUUCUUCUUUGGGCCUAGGCAAAAAUGGCCCAUUACAAUUAUUAUUUUAUUGUAUUCUAAAAAUAAAUGACAUCAAUUUAAACUGAAAGAAUUUCUUUUACUUCAUUUAUUAUGUUGAAAAUAUAAAUUCAAUUUAUUUGAAAAAGGGAGAUGUUUAUAACUGUUUAUAUAUUUUUUAAAAUUUUCAUAAAUUUAUAUUCGUAAAACUCUUUUAUAUUUUUACUUCGUUUAUUAUGAGAUUUGAACUCAAAACACUAUAAUUUUUUAUAUUUUAGCUCAAUCAUUUCAAUCAAAUCUUCGAAAAAGAGGAUCUUAGAAUAAAUUUGUGAUAAUUCACAUUUUAACCUUUAAAUUUGGUUGUUUUUCCCUUUUCAGUAUGUAACUUUUUUUUUAUCAAUCUAGAUUGUUAUCUAAACUCUGUCAGUUAUUUUUUGAACCUUUGAAAUUACUUUAUACCAAUAUGGUUCUUAACCUACACUUUGCAUUGGAUUAAUUAUUCUUUUAGUUAAAUUAUAAAAUUAAAAUUUAAAGCUUGCAAUAUGCUUUAAAUUUCUAUACUCUCUGUAUAUUUCGAAUUGACGCCAUCAUACUUUUCAAAUUUAAAAAUUUAAAUUUAGUUGUUAACAUUAUUAAAAUUCUUCCAUUAAAUUUUCCGCUGUAACAUUCUUUUGUUAAAGUAUAAAGAUAGAAUCUCAAAUUUAAUUGUAAUAUAAGGACCGAAAUUGAAAUUUAACCAUUUGUAUAAAAUCUAAAAGAUCCCAAUUGAAAUAUAAUCAUUGCAUUAAUAAUGCAAAAAAAAAGAAGAAGAUUAUAGACACUUGUCAUAAGAGAAAGGAAAUAGGGCCUUUUUCCGCAUAAAAUAACCUAAUUGAAAUUUAAUGAUUGCGCUUUUUGAAAAACACCGUUAAAAGUCUUGUUCUAUAGUGCCGUUUUUCCACAUAAAUACGGUGAAAUUUAGCGGCGUUAUCUGUAGUGGUAUUUUUUUGUUGUGCUUGUAAAAACGCUAUUAUAGGCCCAAAAAAAGCCGCUAAAAACUUGUUUUACUGUAGUGUUUAUGAUAAAUAAUUACUGUGAAACAAGACUCUAACUAAAUUUAUUUUAAUUGAUUUCAAGAAUUCAUGUGCCGAACGUUUUUAAUUUUAUGCCAAUAUUAUUAAAAUUUUAAUGUUUUAAUCAAUAUUUUCAUUAAAAAUAAUUUGACUUAUUUUAAAAUAUUAAUAAUUACAUUUAAUUAAAAAUUUUAAAUUGAUAAAAAAAUAUAAAUAUUGGCAUUUAUAAUGUGAUCGCUGCCCCAUCACUAAAAUUUUUCUUUCAACGGUUUGCGUUAAAAGAAUCUUUUUUAUACAAUACAAAUUCAAACUUACACACCCACAAACGGGAUGAAUUUAGAGAGAGUAGAUAAGAUAUUAAAAAUGCAUUUUAACCCUUGAAAUGAAAAAAUUUCUAUUUAAUCUUUUUUAAAAUAUUUAUAUCAUAAAUUAAUUUAAGAUAAAAUCACACUUUAAUUUGAUGAAAAUUUAUAAUUUAAUUUCGAGACUCAUAAAAAAAUUUUAAAAUUCAUCUCUACACACACAUGCAUGCACACACUACACUACGAGGUAGGUGAAUAUAUGGAUCAAACCUGUCUUGGAUAUAGAUUAACUUACUUCAAUCAAUCAUCUUACUGUUGAAGUUCACUUUGCAGAAUUUUAUAUACAUAAAAUUAUUGUUUACUUGGAAGGCCUCUGCGUUGACAUGUAUUCCAUUAUUCUUUACUUUUUUUUCACCAAAAUGGUAAUAUUUCAAUUUUGAUCCUUCUACUAUAUUUAAAAUUGAUAUUUAAUUUUAUAAUUUAAUUUUUAACAUCUACUUCAACCAAUUUUUUUAAGUGGAUUUAUUUUUUAAAAUAUUAUUCUAACAAAAACAUUAUUUUGACAUGAUGAGUCGGAAUAAGUAUUAUUUUUUAAAUUUAUGUUAGUUAUCGAAAUUUAAUAAAGAUAAUAAUUAUUUGGACUAACAUGACUUUUUGUUUAUUUCUUUUCACCUCCUACUAAAGUCAAGUUUUGAAAUUGAAAACCAUUAAGGUAACAUAACCAAAUGCAGGACGAAUUUAGAGGAAGCAGGUAGGGCCUUAAUCCCUUCUCAAAUAAAAAAUUAUGUUUUGGUCCCUCAAUAAAUGACAGAAAUAAAAAUUGCUAUGUGAACAAAGUACAUUUUAACCCCAGAAUAAAAGAUUUCUAUUUUAUCCUUUCAAAAAGUGAUGAUAAUAUAAAUUAAUGUAAGAUAAUUUCUAUUAAAGUCAAGUUUUGAAAUUGAAAACCAUUAAGGUAAAGUAACCAAACAAUCAACCACAGCAAUAAUUGUGACAAAGAAGAAGCAUAAUAUCAGAUUUAAUUUUUAAUAUUUAUAUUUUUUUGAAUUUAACUUUUAUUCUAUUUUUAAGUUAAUUUUGAUCUUAAAUCUUUUAAAAAGAAUCGAAUUAUUUUUUUAACGGAAUUAUUGACUACAAUGUUAAAUCUUUAGAAAUGGUAACCCGCAUGGCAAUUAACAUGUACUUCAUGCUAUUUUUUUUAUUUUUUAUGAACUCUUUAUAAUUUUUUCUUUAUUUUCUAAUUUUUAAUUUUUAAAUUAUUUAUUGGCAUAACACAUAAAACAAAUAAUGUCAUGUCAGCAUGAAAUAUACGUGGACUACCAUGCGGGUUGUGGUUGUCAUGCUAAUAUCGUUAAAAAAAUUAAUGUUUUAGUCAACAUUUUCAUUAAAGACAAUUUUUCUCAUUUUAAAAUAUUAAUAAUUAAAUUUAGCUAAAAAGAGCCAAAUUGAUAAAAGAUAUAAACAUUGGCGUUUAUAAAGUACUUACUAUCCCAUCAUUAAAAUUUUUCUUUCAACAAAUUUAAACCCACACACGAGUAAAUUUAGAGGGAGCAAGUAGGGACCUUAGACCUCUCUUAAAUAAAAAAUUGUGUUGUGGCCCCUUAAUAAAUUAUAAAAAUAAGAAAAAAAAUACAUUUUAACCCAAAUGAAAAGAUUUCUAUUCAAUCCUUUCAAAAGUUAUGGAAUCAAAAGUUAAAUGUAAGAUAAAGUUAAACUUUAACUUCUUAAAAACAUAUAAUUCAAUUUUGGCCCCUCAUAAAAAUAUUUAAGAUUCGUUUCUACACCACACAACUGAAUAGGUGAAUAGAACCCGUCUUGGGUAUAAAUUAACUUACUUCAAUCAAUGAAUAUAUUGCUUGAUUUCACUUUGCGGAAUUUUAUAUCUCACUAAAUUGGGAUUUAAUAUUUUAUAUAGAAGGCCUCUUUGUUGACAUGUGUUACAUUAAUCUUUAUUUUUUCCAUAUUAUAAGAAAAUGGUAAUAUUUUAAUAUGUCUAAUAAAAUUUAUUUAGUGUAGAUAGUAAUACAUAUAAUCUAUUUUUCUUUUAUUAUUUUCAUUUAUUCAUUGUAUCAGUUUUAAAUACUAUUCAUAUAAAGUUGUGUUAAGUUAAUGAAGGAUCGAUUGAAUAUAUAUAUAAUUAAGACUUAAAUAAUAAUUCUUUUUCUCAUGAAAUAAAAUUUUAUUAACAAAACUGCAACGCACUAUAUAGGAGAAGACUCAAAAAAAAAUUUAUAAGCUUUGAAAACAAAAACGCUCACAUCACCAGCUUGCCACCCAAAAAUUCACGAUUCGCACUUGCACACACAUAUGCAUAUAUUAUGUUAUUAUACAAAUGAAUCUAUGGAUCGAACUCGUCUUAAAUAUAGAUGAAAUUAUUUCAAUCAAUGGGUUUAUAACUUCAGCUCACUUUGCAGAAUUUUAUAUUGAUUUAAUAUUUUAUAUACAUAAAUUUAUAUUUAUAUUAAUUUAACAUUAGAUUCAAUCAAUUGGUAUUGAUUCCCAAUUUAAUAAAUUCGAACCUGUACUCUGAUUGAUCUCUAAUCCAACUAAUCCAAUCUAAUUCAAACAUCCUAAUAAAACUGUAAGUCAUAUUCAUUUGUUUUCAUUAACUUUAAAAAUUGAAUAAUCGUAUUAUUAAAAAGUCGAAUAAUUAUGGAAUAUAAACAGAUUUAAGAUAAUGUCAAAUGUUUCUUUAAUUAUUUAAUUAUUAUUUUAUUAUAUUCUAAAAAUAAAUUACAUCUAUUUAAAUAAAUCUUCGGCAAAGGGGUUCUUAGAAUAAAAUUGAGAUAAUUCACAUUUUAACCUCUGAAUUUGGUUGGUUUUCUCUUUUCGGUAUAUUAUACUUUAUUUUUUUUUUUAUCAAUCUAGAUUGUUAUCUAAACUUACAUUUCGUCAAUUAUUUUUUGAACAUUUGAAAUUACUUUAUACUAGUAUGGUUCUUAACCUACACCUUGCAUUGGGUUAAUUAUCUUUUUGGUUAAAUUAUAGAGUUAAAAUUUAAAGCUUACAAUAUGUUUUAAAUUUCUAUACAUUCUGUAUAUUUCGAAUUGAGUCAUCAUACUUUUCAAAUUUAAAAAUUUAAGUUCAGUUGUUAACAUUAUUAAAAUUUUUCUAUUAAACUUUCCGCUGUGACAUUCUUGUGUUAAAAUAUAAAGAUUAAAUUUUAAAUUUGAUUGAAUGUAAAAGGAAAUAAAGGAACCCAAUUGAAAUAUAAUCAUUGCAUUAAAAAUGUAAAAGAAAAAAAAAUUAUGGGCAGUUGUCAUAAAAGAAAGGACAUGAGGCCUUUAUGAUAAAUAAUUAAUGUGAAAACGAUUUAAUUUACUCUAACUAAAGUUAUUUUAAUUGAAUUCAAGAAUUCAUGUGCCGAACAUUUAAUCUUACAUCAAUAUUGAUGUUUUAAUUAAAAAUAAUUUGAUUUAUUUUAAAACAUUAAUAAUUAAAGUCAAAUUAUUAAUAAUUAUAUAGUGCUCGCUAGUCGCUACCCCAUCACUGAAAUUUUUCUUUCAACAAUUUGCAUUUAAAAGGAUCUUUCUUAUACAAUACAAUACAAACUCAAAUUUACACACCCACAAACGCAAGACGAAUUUAGAGGGAGCAGGCAGGGCCUUUGCCCCCUCUCAAAAAAAAUUGUUUUGGUCCCAAAAUUACUAUUUGAAAAAAAAAAUACAUUUUAACCCCUAAAAUAAAAUAUUUUAAAAGUGAUGAUGUUAUAAAUUAAUAUAAGAUAAAAUUAUACUUCCAACCUUAUAAAAUUUUAUAAUUCAAUUUCUAACACUAGUAAGAAAACUUAAGAUUCACGCCUGUCCUGGAUAUAGAAUAACUUUCUUCAAUCAACUCACUGCUUCAAUUCUAUAUACAUAAAUUUAAAUUUAUUUAUCUGGAAGGCAUAGUCAUUCUUUACUUUUUCCACAUUAUAAGGAAAUGGUAAUAUUUUAAUUUUGGUCCCUCUACUAUAUUUAAAAUUAAUAUUUAAUUUUUAAUAUAAUUCGAUCUAUAUACUUUAUAAUAUUAUUAGUUAGUCUAAGUAUUUAAUAUUGUUGAUUAUUUUAGCUAAUUUUUUAUACGAAUUUAUUUUUUAAAAUAUUAUUCAAACAAAGAAAAUUAUUUUAAUAUGAUGAGUCGAAAUAUUUUUUUUAAAAUUUAUAUUAAUUACUGAAAUUUAAUAAAGAUAUUAAUUAUUUGAACUAAAAUUUACUUUUUUGUGUUUCUUUUUACCUCCUAUUAAAGUCUAGUUUUGAAAUUGAAAACCAUUAAGGUAAAGUAACCAAACAAUCAACCACAGCAAUAAUUGUGAGGAAGAAGAUGCAUAAUAUCAUAUUUAAUUUUUAAUAUUUAUAUUUUUUUGAAUUUAAAUUUUAUUCUAUUUUUAAGUUAAUUUUGAUCUUCAAUCUUUUAAAAAGAAUAGAAUUUUUUUUAACGGACAUAUUGACUACAAUAUUAAAUCUUUAGAAAUGGUAGCCCGCAUGGCAAUUAACAUGUACUUCAUGCUAUUUUUUUAAUUUUUUAUGAACUCUUUAUAAUUUUUUAUUUAUUUUUAAAUUAUAUAUUGGCAUAACACAAGACAAAUAAUGUCAUGUCAGCAUGAAAUAUGCGUGGACUACCAUGCGGGUUGGGGUUGUCCUGCUAAUACCGUUAAAAAAAUUAAUGUUUUAAUUAACAUUUCCAUUAAAAAUAAUUUUAUUUAUUUUAAAAUAUUGAUAAUUAAAUUUAGCUAAAAAGAGCCAAAUUGAUAAAAGAUACAAACAUUGGCAUAUAUAAAGUAUUCAGUGUCCCAUCAUUAAAAUUUUUCUUUCAACAAAUUUAAACUCACACACCAGUAAAUUUAGAGGGAGUAGAUAGGUUGGCCCUCUCUUAAAUAAAAAAUUAUGUUGUGGUCCCUUAAUAAAUUAUAGAAAAUAAAAGUUAUGGUGAAAAAAUAGAUAGGUUGGCCCUCUCUUAAAUAAAAAAUUAUGUUGUGGUCACUUAAUAAAUUAUAAAAAAAUAAAAGUUAUUGUGAAAAAAAAUGCAUUUUGACCCAAAUGAAAGAAUUUCUAUUCAAUCCUUUCAAAAUUGAUGAAAUCAAAAGUUAGUAUAAGAUUAACUUCUUAAAAACUUAUAAUUCAGUUUUGGCCCCAAAUAAAAAUAUUUAAGAUUCGUUUCUACACACAUGCUCACACUACGCUACCACACAAGUGAAUAUGUGAAUAGAACCCAUUUUGCAUAUAAAUUAACUUACUUCAAUCAAUGAAUAUACUGCUUGAGUUCACUUUGCGAAAUUUUAUAUCCCAUUAAAUUGGGAUUUAAUAUUUUAUAUAGGAGGCCUCUUCGUUGACAUGUGUUACAUUAAUUUUUAUUUUUUCCACAUUAUAAGAAAAUGGUAAUAUUUCAAUUUUGAUCCCUCUAUUAUGUCUAAAAUUAAUUUAUUUUUAACAUAAUUUAGUUUGUAUACUUUAUAAUAUUAUAAGUUAGUCUAAAUAUUUAAUAUUAUUGACUACUUCAACUAUUUUUUCACGUGGAUUUAUUUUUUAAAAUAUUAUUUUAACAAAAAAAUUAUUUUGACGUGAUGAAUUGGAAUAAGUACUUUUUUUUUAAAUUCACGUCAAUGGGCUAACAAUGAGAUGACUAUUUUUCUUUUCUUUUUUUACUUUUUGUAGUAAUUAUAAGGUAAUGGUAAAAUUGUAGUUUCAAAUUCUCUAUUAUGCUUACAUUUAAGAUUUGAUCUUUAUAUUUUAAUUCGACGUAAUUUGGUCAUUUACUUUUAAAAUGACAUUAGUGAAUCUAAAUAAUUAACAUCCUUAACUAUUUCUAUAAAAAAAAGAUGACACAAAUUUCUCUUAAAAAUAUUUUUCUAAUACAAAAUAUAUAUUUCUUUAUGUAGCUAGAACAGGUGUUUUUAAGAAAAAUCCGACCUCAACAUUUUAACUGGAUUAAAUAAGAGUAUCAAUUAUUUCGGCUAAUUAAUGAUAUUAUGUGAAAGAACCAAAUUAUAUCAAAAGUAUAGAUAUUGAAUUCUAAAUUUAAAAAUAGUAGAAGACUCUAACUACAAUUUGAUGUAAAACAAUUUAUGGCUAACACAAUCAUCUUUCAUUUAAUUUAAUAAAAAAUUGAUUUAAAAAAAUUAUUUUCAAUUUAAUCCAAUGAGUAAGAAAUGAUUUUCAAAUUAAUAUUUCGUAUAAAGUUAAACAGUUAAUAUUGUACUAAUACUUCACACAUGAACACUUCUGCUAUCAAUGCAUUAAGUUGAUAAAAGAAAACUAGUUGAAAGUCUAUAUUUGCACUGCAAUCUGUAAUUUUUUUUUUCACAUGUAAAAAAGGUCAAGCAUGGACUUUUUCUUUUUUCCUUUUUGGGACAUCUCAGUACCAUAUUCAUGAAAGGUCAUCAGUAAAUAAUAUAUGGACAAAACUCAUUGUGUGACACCGACAAUUCAUGAGGAUAAAAUUCCGGGAACUAAGAUUGAAAAAAGAGAAAGUAAAUUUAGAUUUGAAAUUAUUAUCGUGAAAAUUUAAUCUACUUUUAACCUAAACAGAAUUGAUUUUAAACUGUAAAACGAAUUACAAUAACAUAAAAUUUAGGAGUUUUUAAUAAUAACACGGCACCUCGUAUAAAAUAAUACAUAAAAUGAAUAAUAUUAUAAUGAGAAUGCAAAAAAAAAUUGAAUUAUUAUUUAUAAAUUUUUAUUUAAUUUAGUGUCACAAGUCAAUCGAGUAGAACUUACGUAAAAAUCAUACUAAUUAUUUUAUAAAAGGAAAGAAAUAUUAACUUACACGUGUCGAAGUCAAAGAAAAUUAUUAAAGUGGAUGAGAUUUUCUUUUUUUCUUUUUGUUGUAAAUAAGGGGACAACAUUUAAUAGCUAGUAUGAACGGAUGUUAUUCACUCUGACAAAUAUGGUAAAUUAUUUAAUUUGAACUCAAGGAUUAAUGUAUCAAAAUUUACCCAUUUUUCUUCACUGUUCUUUUAUGAUUUAUGGGGUUGCAUUGAGAAUGGCUAAACAGGAGCUUUGGGUACAGUGCUGUUCUUAUCUCUCUCACACACACAAAAAGAAAAAGGAAGUGUUUGUUUGGGAGAUAUAGACACAUGGAUGUUCUUUUGGUCACAAUUCUCAAACGUGUUUCACUCCUUUAUUUGUUGGAAGUGGCAAUAUUUUUGUUAAUGGAGACUUACCUCAGUAUUUAAGCCAAUAAAAGUGCCAGUCACCAUCUCAAAAAGAGCUUUUAAAGUAAAGGUUAAGUUUUAGUUUUGAUUUUGAUUUUGAUUUUUUUUAAAUUUAUCAGAUGUUAUACAAAUUACCUUAAAAUAUUGUCAGUGUUGGCUUUUUUAUGAAGGAACGGAAAUAGUUAAUGUAUGACUAACAUGUGGUAGAUGACAUGAAUGAUUACAUUUAUUUGAAGUUUCCUUUGUUUCGCUAAAUAAUAUGUUUAAAUUUUAGUUUUCGUUGGGACUAAGAUUAUGUUAACGGUUACUAGUACUACAGGAAAAUAGGGCUUUAACGGCGUUUUUAGCAAAAAUUAUAAAACACAAGGCAAUAGCGGCACUUUUGAUAAAAUGCCGCUAAAGACCAGAGCAUUAGCGGCGCUUUUGGUGAAACGCCGCUAAAGACCAGAGCAUUAGCGGCGCUUUUGGUAAAACGCCGCUAAAAGUCAUGUAACUCUUAAAAUCCUAAACCCCCCAAAAAACAUAAAACACUAAUCUAUAACCCCUAAAAUAGUAAACCCCUAAACCCUAACAAGCCCUAAACACUAAAUUAUAACCCCUAAAACCCUAAACGCCGCAAUAGGUGCAUUUUUAGUGGCGCUAGGUUAUAAACGCUGCUGAUGUUAAAUUAUUUUGUUCAAAACUUCGUCGUUUAGCUGUCUUAUUUUUUACCCACACCUGAUACACUUAACAUUUUCCCCGUUUUUCCCCAGUUCUAUUUCCCCCUUCUUCAUCACCCUAAAUCCCUAAAGUAUUAUCACCCAUUCCCAAAUUCGACAUCCUAAAUCCCUAACGAAUUUAAUAAUAAUAAAAAAGUAAUUUUAACAAUUAAACUUAAAUUCAGAAAUUUGAAACAUAGAGGAAUUAAAUUCUUAAGAAUAGAAAUAUAAUGACUAAAUUUUAAUUUUACGAAAAGUACAAAUACUUAUCUCAUAUUUUAACUUUUACAGAUUAAGUGGUUUAGUAUUCAAUUUGUUAAAGUAUGUUAAGAGAAUUACUUUUUUCUUUUUUAAGAUUUAACACUCCUAUGCGAAAAGAUAUUAUUUAACUCAUAUAUUUAUUAAAAGUUUAUAUAAAAAUUAAUUUAAAAGUUUAUAUAAAAAUUAAUUGUUAUUUUGGUUAUAAUCAUAAAGUUAAUUGUGUUUCGAGUUUUUAUUAUAUAUAUAUAUCAAUAUAAAAAUACAUUCUUAUAACUUAAUUUAAUUUAUAUGUGAAAGGGUAACUUAAUAAUUUCACAACUGAAUUAAUAUACUUGGUUAACCCAUAACACCAACUUAAUAAAAAAAUAACUAUAAUUAUAAAUUUUUCUUUCCAUUAAUAUGAUUCAACUAAAGAUAUUUUUAAUAUUUAAUUUAUAUAGACAAACAAUUAUUGCACUCAAAUUGAUAUAAAUUAUAAAAUUACAAUUAAUUUUAUUUAAAACUCGAUUCGAAACAAUUGAUGUUUUGAAUUCGUAAAGUAAAAUAAUCAUACUAGAAUAUGGCACACUCAUUGAAUUUUUAUGUAACAAAAUUAAUAAAAUUUGAUGUAAUAACCAGUAUGCCAUUAUAUCAAAUAUUAGAUUUAAAAAAACAUUGAUAAAUGAAAUAACAGAUUGAUAUGGAUAGGUAACUAUCUAUUUUGGAUAGGACCGAAUUAUAACAAAUAAAAAUAAAAUACAAAAACUAAAAUCAUUCCACACCGAACAUCUAGCAAAAUAGUUAUAUUUUAGUUAGGAAGAAAUAUCUCUAAUGAAAUGGAGAUUAGAUCGGAAAAGAAUAAUAUAAAAUUAUGAUUAAUGUCUCAAUCUUUAAUAGAAAUUUGAUAUGUAAGAGAUUGAUUGCUUACAUUGGAUAAUUCUAACUUAAUAAUUAAUUACAACCAUUUAAUUAUUUGUUUUCUUAGUAAAAUAUACGAUAUUUAUUUUCAGAAUACUUAAUUUUUUUAUUUAUAAAAACCAAUUUAUAAAAAAUAGUAAUAAAAAAUAUUUUAUAAAAUCACUUAACUAAUAAUUUUUAAUAGAGAAAAUAAAAAAAUUUUAGCAUAACAAAACAGAAUCAUUUUAUUUAAAAUGAAAUAAUUUUUUGUUAACAAAAAAACGCCACAAAAAAUUAUUUCACUUAAAAAAUGCGCGGUUUUAUCCCUAAAUUUUCCCCAUCUGAAACGCCUAAUUUUUUCCCCUCUCAAAACACCCCCCAAUCUCACCCCUCCGUUGUUCUUUUCAAUCAAGAAACUGAGAUGGCAGUCUUGAUUUGGCAUCAAAUUGCUUCAGUCUUGAUUUGGUUUCCAGUUAUACGAUAGAAGAGAUGGCAGUGAACUAGACGGCAGCGUUGAAGGUAGGGUUGUGCCUAUUGGGCUUCUGCUAUUCGGCUACACGUUCAUCUCCCUCCACAAUCUCAAAGCUUGUGCAGAUAAUAAUUACUUGUAAGUUUUAAGUAAAUAUGUUGUUCUUGUCAUCAUCGUUUGUUUAACAUUUGGUAUUUGAAAACCCAGGUUUCGUCUAUAAAAAUCAUACGAAAUAAACAAACCGGACAGUCUGAAGGAUACGGAUUCGUGGAGUUUAGCUUUCGAGCAACGGCUGAAAAGGUUUUACAGAGCUGUAAUGGUUCUCUGAUGCCAAAUACAGAGCAGCCUUUCCGUUUGAACUGGGCUUCGUUCGAUGUGAACGAAAGACGAUCUGAUGCUGGCUCCGAUCUAUCUAUAUUCGUAGGAGAUUUGGCUGCCGAUGUAACUGAUACGGUGUUGGAUGAAACCUUUUCUAGUAAAUUUCAAUCUGUCAAAGGAGCAAAAGUUGUUAUCGAUUCGAAUACCGGUCGUUCGAAAGGUUAUGGUUUCGUUCGGUUCGGUGAUGAAAAUGAAAGGUCGAGGGCCAUGACUGAAAUGAAUGGAGUGUAUUGCUCAAGUAGACCAAUGAGAAUUAGUGUUGCCACUCCCAAGAAAGCAUUUGGAUAUCAGCAACAGUAUUAUUCGCAAGGUACCCUAAUAUUUUAUCCUUACCAAGUUAGUCCAAAUGUUUCCUGUCAAAUAUAGGGUCCUUUCCAGGUUCUAAAUGACACCAUAAGGGUAAUGCUGAGAUGAUUGAUACCCGGGUGGCCUUAUUGAGCAUUUAAGUGGAAUCAUAUUGUGAUUUUUUGUUCUUUGUAUCAAUUUUGUCUUAAAGCUCGGUGUGAAUUGUAAAUUGAAUCAUUAUAUCUAUAUUAACCUUAUUAUUAGGUUUGGUAUUGGCAGGUAGACAAGCAUCGAAUGGUGCUGUGGAACAAGGUCUUCAUUCUCAUAAUGACUCGAACAAUGCUACCGUGAGUCCUUCUCCCUCCAUUCGUUCUAUCUCACCACUAUAUUUUAAAAAUUGACCACAAUAUUUGGUUUCUUGCAGAUUUUUUUUGGAGGACUUGACUCGGAUGUUAGCGAUGAUGAUCUUAGACAACCCUUUUCCCAGUUCGGUGAGAUCAUCUCUGUGAAAAUACCACCUGGAAAAGGAUGCGGGUUUGUGCUAUUUGCAAACAGGUGACUGCUCCCUAUAUGUACUUCACCACAUUGUAGUACUAUUGAUGAGUGUUCUUAUUUGCAAUCCAGAGCUUGAACGGAACAACCAUAGGCAAGCAGACUGUCCGACUUUCUUGGGGUCGAAGUAUUGGAAACAAACAGGUAAAUUUAUGCCAAAAUAGUUAUUCUUAGUAGGCAACCAUAUUAAAUAGUCUAAUUCUGCCUUGCUCAUUGCAUAAUACUUGGACGAUUUAUUUUUCCGAGGUCCAACUGCUAGAGAAUCGAAAUAGAAUAAACUUGCGUUAUAUCAUGCACAUCCUUUCACAAAUAGAAUAGCAUGAGUCAUAUUGCAGUGCACCAAAGCUUACUUAAAACCGGUUUUGACAGCGGAGAGCUGAUUCUGGAAACCAGUGGAAUGGAGGUUAUUAUUGACGGCAAGGCUACGGUGGUUACGGCUACGGUUACGGUUAUGGCUAUGCAACACCACCAAGUCCGGGUCCUAGCAUGUACGCCGCUGCAGCUGCUGUUCCUAGUGCUUCUUAAGAGUGGUGAGGUAUGGAAAUUUUAACAAUGGCAUGUAAUCUGAAAUUGCAGAAAAGGUUAUUCAUUAUUUAAGUAGGAUUGGUUUUUAUUGGAACCCACCAUUGUUUGAAAAGUCAAAUGGGGUGUUCACCGAAAGUAGAAAGUAAUAUUGGUUGGCAAGUUGGGUUAAAAGUUGGCAUGGGAUAAUUGCAAUUUUGGUCCCUAAUUGUAUAGGGACAUUGCAAGUUGAUCCUUGAACCUCAACUAUAAAUAGGCCUAACCAUUGCUUACUUUCUUCAUCCCAUAAUUGCCAUUCUCUACUUAAGGCAUUAUUCUCUCUCUCUAUUUGUAAAUUUCACUUGUAAUUUUUGGAGUGAAAUAUAUUUGGUAGUGCCCGAGGACGUAGGCAAAAUUUGCUGAACCUCGUUAAAAUUCUGGUGUUCUUUAUUAUUUGUUUUGCAUAUUUUGUGAAUGUGAUUGUAGUGAUUUAUUGUGCUAUUAAAUUACGAUAGAGGGAUAUUCUAGCUAGGAAAGACUUGGUAUUUAAGUGAUCUUCGUGAUCUACCUCUCUUUCAUGGGAAUUGAACUUAGUGUGAUUUUUCAGUACAAUAAUUUUACUCUUUCACACGCUUCCGCGCAACAAUUGGUACCAGAGCCAGGUUCAUACUUGGAAAAUACGAUCGUUUACGGUACUAUUCACGUAUACAGCACUAUUCACGUAUACGAUACUAUUCACGUAUACGGUACUGUUCACGUAUACAGUAGUUGGGAUUGAGGAGAAAAAUGGCAGCAGCAUCGUCAUCAGCAAGGACUACUAUGACAAAUGCAAAAUUUGAAGUAGAGAAAUUUGACGGUACCAAUAAUUUUGGUAUGUGGCAAUGUGAGAUCCUGGAUGUCUUAUGUCAGCAAGAGCUAGAUAUAGCCCUUGAAGAAAAACCUGACAAGAUGGAUGACAAGGAGUGGGCCAAGAUCAAUAGACAGGCGUGUGGUACAAUCCGCCUAUGUUUGGCCAAAGAGCAGAAGUACUCUGUCAUGAGGGAGACAUCAGCGAAGAAGUUAUGGGAUACACUGGAAGAAAAGUUUCUAACGAAAAGUCUUGAAAAUAAACUUUAUCGAUUCACGUAUGCACCCGGUAUGUCGAUGAAUGACCAUGUGAACUCAUUCAAUAAAAUUUUAGCAGACUUGCUAAAUUUGGAUGAGAAAUUUGAAGAUGAAGACAAGGCAUUAUUGUUGUUGAAUUCCCUUCCUAAUGAAUAUGAUCAUCUUACCACCACAUUGCUUCAUGGGAAGGACACGAUCACAUUUGAUGCAGUCUGUAGUGCGUUGUAUAGAUCUGAGACUCGAAAGAAAGAUAAAAGAGAUCACAGAGAUACAACCGCAGAAGUCUUAACAGUAAGAGGUCGUUCACACAGCAGCAAAUCUGGUAGAAGGGGAAAGUCCAAAGGGAGACCCGCCAAAGAUGAAUGUGCCUUUUACCGUGAAAAAGGACAUUGGAAAAAGAAUUGUCCUAAGCUACAAAAGGGCAAGGCUAUUUCUAAUGCAUGUAUAGCGGAGCAUGAUGAGGAGUCAGACUUUAGCUUGGUUGGCAUGGCAAUGGCAUGUCAAACGGAUGAGUGGAUUUUGGAUUCAGGAUGUACUUACCAUAUGUGUCCUAAUAAGGACUGGUUUUCUAGUCUUAAAGAGCUAGAAGGUGGAAUUGUUCUUAUGGGCAAUGAUAGUGCUUGUAAGACAAUGGGAGUGGGUACAGUCCAAUUGAAGAAUCACGACGGCUCAAUCCAAGUCUUGACAGAUGUUCGCUACGUACCUAGCCUGAAGAAAAAUCUCAUCUCAUUAGGGGCCCUAGAAUCUAAAGGGCUCACAAUCACUUUGAGAGAUGGAUUACUAAAAGUAGUAGCUGGGCAACUGACGGUGAUGAAAGGCACAAUAAGAAAAAACUUGUAUUUUUUAAAUGGAAGUACAGUUAUUGGAUCAACAUCAAUAGUUUCUACAAAAGAUGUAGAUUCAGAGGCUACCAGAUUAUGGCAUAUGCGAUUGGGACAUGCUGGUGAAAAAGCUUUGCAGACAUUGGUGAAGCAAGGCUUAUUGAAAGGUGCAAAUUCUUUCAAAAUGGAAUUCUGUGAACAUUGUGUUCUGGGCAAGCAGAAGAGGGUAAAAUUUGGUCCAACAAUUCACAAUACGAAAGGAAUUCUGGACUACGUUCACAGUGAUGUGUGGGGACCUACCAAAGUAGCUUCUUUGGGAGGUAUGCACUAUUUUGUUACUUUUGUUGAUGAUUAUUCAAGAAAAGUAUGGGUGUAUCUAAUGAAAAGAAAAAGUAAAGUUUUGGAUGCAUUUCUGAAAUGGAAGAAGAUGGUGGAGACUCAGACUGGUCGAAAGGUCAAACGAUUUCGAUCAGAUAAUGGUACUGAGUACAAAAACGAUCCAUUUCUACAAGUAUGCCAAGAUGAGGGCAUUGUGCGACACUUCACUGUUCGGGAUACACCACAGCAAAAUGGGGUGGCAGAACGAAUGAAUCGAACUAUACUGGAGAAAGUUCGAUGUAUGUUGUCCAAUGCUGGAUUGGGCAAAGAAUUUUGGGCUGAGGUAGUUACAUAUGCGUGCCAUCUAAUUAACCGUUUGCCAUCAGCUGCAAUAAAUGGAAAAACUCCUAUGGAGAUGUGGACUGGUAAAUCUGCUACUGAUUAUGAUUCUUUGCAUGUAUUUGGUUCCACUGCAUAUUAUCAUGUAAAAGAAUCUAAGUUAGACCCAAGAGCAAAGAAAGCAUUAUUCAUGGGUAUAACUGAUGGAGUAAAAGGAUAUCGUCUCUGGUGUCCUGAUACAAGGAAGAUUGUUUUCAGUAGAGAUGUGACUUUUGAUGAAUCAACCAUGUUGAAGUACAAUGAUUCAUAAAAGGAUGACAAAACCAGUAGUACUUUGCAACAGGUGGAGCUUGAAAAGGUUAACGAUGAUCCAGCUAAUAUUGAAGGGACAAAUGAUGAAGAGGUUCCUACCCAAGAACCUCUACAGCAACAAGAUUCAAUUGCAUAUAGAAGGCCAAGAAGAGAGAUUCGUAAGCCUGCUCGCUUUGAUGAUAUAGUGGCCUAUGCACUUCCAAUUACAGAUGAUGAUGUUCCUUCUACUUACACAGAAGUAAUAAGUAACCCUGAUGGUGUAAAGUGGAAGCAAGCAAUGAAUGAAGAAAUGCAGUCUCUUCAUAAAAAUAAGACCUGGGAGUUGGUGACACUACCCAAGGGAAAGAAGGCAAUUGGAUGCAAAUGGGUAUAUGCAAAGAAGGAAGGAUUUCCUGAUAAAAAUGAAAUUCGAUACAAGGCUAGAUUAGUAGCAAAGGGUUACGCUCAGAAAGAAGGAAUAGACUACAAUGAAGUGUUUUCUCCAGUUGUGAAGCAUUCGUCUAUUCGGAUUUUACUAGCCUUGGUUGCGCAAUAUGAUCUUGAACUAGUUCAGCUUGAUGUGAAGACCGCGUUUUUACACGGUGAUUUGGAAGAAGAAAUCUAUAUGAAUCAGCCAGAUGGAUUCAAGGUUGCUGGAAAAGAAAAUUGGGUUUGCAAACUGACAAAGUCGCUUUAUGGAUUGAAGCAAUCUCCAAGGCAGUGGUACAAGCGAUUUGAUCAGUUCAUGAAAGGGCAAAGGUACACAAGAAGUAAAUUUGAUCAUUGCGUGUAUUUUCAGAAGCUACAAGAAGGAACUUUCAUAUACUUGCUCUUAUAUGUUGAUGAUAAGCUAAUAGCAUCUAAGAGCAAAGUUGAGAUUGAAAGAUUGAAGACUCAACUCAAUCUCGAGUUUGAGAUGAAAGAUCUAGGAGAAGCUAAAAAGAUUUUCGGCAUGGAAAUAUGGAGAGAUAGAGCUCAUGAUAGAGUUAGCUUGUCUCAGAAGAAGUAUUUGAAAAAGGUACUACAGCAGUUUGGCAUGAACGAGCAGACAAAACCUGUAGGUACCCCGUUGGCUUCUCAUUUCAAGCUUUCUGCACAACUAUCUCCUUCGACGAAUACGGAACGAGAAUACAUGUUGCAAGUUCCGUAUUCUAAUGCAGUGGGUAGCUUGAUGUAUGCAAUGGUGUGUACAAGACCCGACAUUUCACAGGCAGUUAGUAUAGUGAGCAGGUAUAUGUAUAAUCCUGGAAAAGGACAUUGGCAAGCUGUGAAAUGGAUUCUACGGUAUAUUCAAAAGACCGUGGAUGUUGGAUUACUGUUCAAGCAGGAUAAUACACUUGGUAAAGGUGUUAUUGGGUACGUUGAUUCUGACUAUGCCGGUGAUUUGGACAAGCGAAGAUCAACCACCGGUUAUGUGUUUACACUUGCUGGAGGACCAAUAAGUUGGAAGUCUACACUAUAGUCUACAAUUGUAUUGUCAACCACAGAAGCCGAGUACAUGGCUGUAACAGAGGCUGUAAAGGAGGCUAUUUGGUUACAAGGUAUGGCUAAAACAUUGGGGUUGGUUCAGGAGCAUAUUAACGUGUAUUGUGAUAGUCAAAGUGCUAUUCAUUUAGCAAAGAAUCAAGUCUAUCAUGCACGUACAAAACAUAUCGACGUACGAUUCCAUUUUGUGCGGGAAAUUAUUGAAGAGGGGAAAAUUUGUCUUCAGAAGAUCAAGACUGCAGAUAAUCCCGCAGAUAUGAUGACCAAGGUGGUAACAGCAACCAAGUUCGAACAUUGUUUGAACUUGAUUAAUAUCCUGCAAGUUUAACAGUUGAAGAAGGCACUAUCAAGUAUUGUUGUCAAAAGCAGAAAGAAUUGUGUGAAGAUAAGAUUAUCGUAAUCAAAUCUUCAAGGUGGAGAUUAUUGAAACCCACCAUUGUUUGAAAAGUCAAAUGGGGUGUUCACCGAAAGUAGAAAGUAAUAUUGGUUGGCAAGUUGGGUUAAAAGUUGGCAUGGGAUAAUUGCAAUUUUGGUCCCUAAUUGUAUAGGGACAUUGCAAGUUGAUCCUUGAACCUCAACUAUAAAUAGGCCUAACCAUUGCUUACUUUCUUCAUCCCAUAAUUGCCAUUCUCUACUUAAGGCAUUAUUCUCUCUCUCUAUUUGUAAAUUUCACUUGUAAUUUUUGGAGUGAAAUAUAUUUGGUAGUGCCCGAGGACGUAGGCAAAAUUUGCUGAACCUCGUUAAAAUUCUGGUGUUCUUUAUUAUUUGUUUUGCAUAUUUUGUGAAUGUGAUUGUAGUGAUUUAUUGUGCUAUUAAAUUACGAUAGAGGGAUAUUCUGGCUAGGAAAGACUUGGUAUUUAAGUGAUCUUCGUGAUCUACCUCUCUUUCCUGGGAAUUGAACUUAGUGUGAUUUUUCAAUACAAUAAUUUUACUCUUUCACACGCUUCCGCGCAACAGUUUUGAUUGCUGCUUUAGCUUGAUGUUCAGAUUACAUAAGUUUUGUAGCUGGAUUUUGUUUUUAUAUCUUUUGGACAAGUUUUUAGAACUUUAUUAAUAUGUUAUUUUACAAUUUUGAUUUUGUGUUUGAGAAGAGGUUUUGUUAUUAUUAUGUUUGAUUUUAUAUUGAAACCUCUCCUACCAUAUUAUAAUCAAGUGUUCUUAAGUUGACAAAUGAACUAUAAGAGCCUAUUCUUGUUUAUAAUUUCUGUUGAGUUACAUAUAAAUGAUUUUUUAAAAAUUGUGUUUAUAACUUUUUUAAAGUAUUAUAUAUAUGUCAAAUUCUGCUGUUUGUCAUUGCACUAUAUUUAUGUUACUGAUUUAGUAUUUAUACUCUAAUUUGGCUAUUUUUAAUCGAUUUUUUUCCUUUAAAAAAAAUGAAAUUUAGUUCUGACAUUAAAUUCCUUAAACUAAAUUAUAUAAUUUCAAAAAUCUUAUAUGAUAAAUAAAUUAUAUAUAAUGUUAUGUCAAUUUACUAGCACUGCCAUAUCAUUUCAAUUGAUUUGAUUUUCACAAAUUUGAAAUCAAGGUUACUCAAUUUUAACUUCAAGUCACACAUUCCAUUUGUUAGGAAAAGCUAUAUCUUUUUUCAGAAUUUUAUAAAAAAGAUUUUAUUUGAAUUUUCUACCGUGGUACAUUGAAGUUCAUAUGUAGCUCAAUUCCAUGUGUUGCUUUAUUUAUAGGUGCUUCGAGAGUUCAAUCAUGUUAAUCCACAAACGGAGUUUUUGAAAACGAUUCAUAAGUUAGCUGAUACGGUUAUUAGAGGGUUGUUGAAGUAUUGGCCUUUGACUAAUUGUCAGAAGGAAGUUCUCUUCCUCGGGGAACUUGAGGAAGUACUUGAAGCAACACAGUCUGUGGAGUUCCAACGAUGUAUGGUUCCGCUUUUCAGACAGAUUGCACGUUGCCUCAAUAGCUUACAUUUCCAGGUAACUUUUAAGGCCUUUCUUUUGAAUAUUUGACUGAUAGUAUGCAAAUUCCAGUAGUAUGAGUAGUCAAUCACCUCUGGGAACCAAUAGUAUUGUUAAUUGUGGAAUGUUGAACUGUUGCUAGGAUGUUAAGAACUUAGAAUAAAUCAUACGAUUACUUUUCUGAUAACUUUCAAGGGCUUUUGUCUUUUGAAAAUGUUACUAUGACUCUGCUAAUUUUAAUUGCUUGAGUAGUAAAUCACCUUUAGGAACCAAUGCUAUUCAGAAUUCUGGAAUGUUGAAUUGUUACUAGGAUGUGAAAUUAAACCAUAUGAUAAUAAUUAACUUUGAUGCAAUGUUGCCAGUUGUUGUUAGCUUAUGAUUAAAAAUUUAUGGUACUUCAUAAUUUCUUGUGAUUCUGAGUGUUGAACUGAUACUGAUUCAUGAAGAAUAACAUUUGGCUCUUUAGGAAACUGCUGCAUUUACGAUUAGCCUAGCGUCAGUUUUUUUAUUAUGGGUUUACUUUUUACUGAUUUCACUUUCGUUACAGUAAAUGGUAUAGCUAAUUUCCUUGUUUUGCUUAAUCAGGUGACCGAGAUUCCUAACAAUUUUCUUUAUUACUGGAACAAGUCUUAACCAAGAUCAAGAUCAAAGUACUGCACUAAGUUAUAUAUGCAAUCAUUGCAAUACUUUGGCUUCAUCUAAAGCUUGAACUAGCCCUCUGUUGUAUAUUGUUUCUUCUUCUUUUCUGAUCUUUUUCCUUUGAUUAAUGAGAUGUGAUGAUGAUUUGGCAUUAUUUUCUCACCAGGAUGAAUUAUGUUUUAGAAAUUCUAAUACUUCGUGUGUCUAUGUGUGUGUUUCUUUAUGUAUUAAAUUACAUAUUGAAUCAAUGUUUAUGUAUUAAAUUUAAAUUCAUUAAUUUUUAUAUUUAGUUUUGAAGUUUAAAUUUUAAUGGAAAAUUUAAUUUAAUUAAUAUUUUUUAUUUAUCCUUAAAAGUAUAUAGUUUAAAGUUCAAAUUUCAAAAAUUAAACAUAAUAUAAUAUUUAACAUAGAAAUAAAUAUUAUUUAAUUAAAAUAAAAUAAUUUUUUUUAAAAUCAUUAUUUUUAGCGGCGUUUGUGAGAAAAGUGCCGUUAAAUGUUAUGAUCUUUAGCGGCGUUUGUGAAAAACCGCCGCUAAAGGUCAUGGUCUUUAGCGGCGUUUGAGAAAAAAGCACCGCUAAAGGUUAUGGUCUUUAGCGGCGUUUGCGAAAAAAGCGCCGCUAAAGGUCAUGAUCUUUAGCGGCGUUGCAUAUAGCGACGUUUUUUGCUUUUCCUGUAGUGUAGUAGGAAUAAUUUAAGAGGGACUGCAUGCUUAAAGUAUGACUAGAUCUUCACAAAGUCCUCAAUUCCAUAAAAACAUCAUCAUUAUUAAAAGAAAUUUGUGUGCAAAUUAAUGAAAGGAUAUUGAAAAAAAAACCAAGAGUUUUAAGAAUCCAAAAUAAAAAAUUCAUUAGAUUAAAUUAAAAUAAAUUAAAGAAAAUUAAACUAAAAGUAAUUGAACAUUUAAAAUACAAAAAAAAAAAUCUCAUCCGCUACAUGUCAAUCAUACAUAAAUUCCACGUUAGAAAAAUGUAUCAAACUCAUGUAUCAAAUAAAAUAUAUUAAUUAGUGAAUAUUUAUUGCAUUCUAACAACCUUAUAAUAAAUCUACCAAUCAAUGUGACAAGUACAAGGGAACUCUUGAAAUUUGAUAAAUUAGUUUUGAUAUCACGUGAAACAUGGGAUUACUUACUUUGUAAAUAGAAAAUGUAAUUAAAAUAGUGUUUGGAAUUGUCAUCAUAGUUCAACCACAAAAUAAAAAACGUGUACAAAAGUCAAUAUGAACAUUAAGAUUGUUUAUACAAUUCAACUUUAGUAUAUGUCUGUAAGGCCUUGCCUAGAGCAGCGAUCCACCAUCUUUUUCAGAGUACAAUCAAUGAUUUAAAAUCUAACACUAGUCUAACACUCACCAAUUUAGCUACCCACCAUAGCAUAAAGACGAGAUCACUCUCCUACUAAGCUUCUCUCUCAAAAGCUUAACUUUACAACUCAAGAGACUUUCUUGAUUGUUUACAAAAAUAAUACAUACAUAAAACGUUCCUAACUUGAAUAGAUUUGUGUUCCUUACUUACAUAAGAAUCAUAAUUUAAUCUCUUUUCUAUAAAAUAUGAACAAAAUUCAACAAAAGUUAAAGUUAAUAUUUUGUAUAAAAUUAAACAAUUAAUAUUGUAUUAAUACCAUUCACAAAUCUAAGUUCACACAUAAACACUUCUGCUAUCAAUGCAUUAAGUUGAAAAAAAAAUAUAGUUGAAACUCUAUAUUUGUACUGAAUCUGUAUUUAUUUUUUUUUCGCACGUAAAUAAUGUCAUGCAUUUACUUAUCUUCUUGUUUUGUUUUCCCUUUUGGUACAUCUCAGCACCAUAUUCAUGAAAGGUCAUCAAUAUAUAAUACGUCGAUCGACAACUCAUUGUGCAACACUUUCAAUACCGACCAUUAAUGAGGACAAAAGAUCCGGAAAAUUUUAACAAGUAGUUGAAAAAAGUGGGAGUAAGUUUGAAUAUUAAAGUCUUAUUAUUGAAAUUUUUUUUAUUUAAGUUCAAUUUCAAUCUUAACAAAAUUAAUUUUAAAUUAUAAAACGGAUGAGAACACUUAAUUACAUUAAAAGUAAAUUUGAGAGUUUUCGUGAAUAAUGUGUCACCUUAUAUAAAAUAAUACAUAAAUCAAUUUUAAAAGUAUAUCACGAAAUUUAAGUUUGAAUAGAUAUUUAUAUUAAUGUAUCACAUAUAUAAAAAUGUAUGAAAGUGAAAAAAUUACAUAAAAUGAAUUAUUAAUUUAUCACAAUUUAUAAAAAUUUCUACAAUAAAAUAAAAUAAAAAGAAAAUAAUAUUUUUUUCUCUAAAUUAAAUUACUAUAAUAAAUUAUAUAAAAGAGGUUGAAGAAUAAUAUUAUCUACAGAUUUCAAAUUGAGUUGGUGUCACGAGUUAAUUGAACAUCAAUUUAAUUGAAAAAUUACCAAUGUAUUUUUUUAUGUACAAAGCAAGUUAUAUUAUCAUGAAAGUGUUUUUAUCUUUCUACAUUUACAAAUCAAUGAAAACUUAGACGUAAUUAUAUUUGAACUCAUGACACAAACUUUAUACAAUUAACUUUACCAUUUAUAUCAAAGGACCGUUUGAUUUUUGUAUAAACUUUUUAAUUAAAUAUAUUUGUUUAUGAAUAACAUAGGUGUUAUAUAAUUUAGUAAUAAAUUAUGAAAAUAAAUAAAUAAACAAAAGAACAACAUGACAAACAUAUAUGAAGCUGUCUCUAAAAAAUAAUUAAUAAUAUGAGAAAAAAUUAUAUAUAAGUUUACCCUUUAAACAUAAGUUAUGAAAGGUAUAGAAUUCCAAAUACAUAAAGUGUAUAGAAAUUUAGAACGUAUUUUUAUAAUUUUUACGUUAUAAUUUAAAGGGAAAAGAUAUUGGUGUACAUGUGUCAAGUGAAAGAAAGUUUUUUUUUUUUUUGAAAAAAAUAGUAUAACUAAACUAAUUACAAAAAGUAAACUAUCCCCUCUAACGGGAGGUCUCAAACAAAAGUAAAUUAUAUGUUUUAUAUUUGACCAAAUUAGUUAAUCAAUCAAUUUUUUUAUUAUCCUCUCUAGAAAUGUGUCUAAUGCUCCACUACCUAAUCUGGGACGACAUCUGAUGGAUCCUCUUAAACAAGGUAGAAUUGGACAUUUAUGGAGAAUUAAGUGGAAGAAAGUUAUUAAAUUGAAUGAGAUUUUUUUUUCUUUUCAUUGUGAAUUAAAGGGACAACAUCUAAUAGCUAGAGUGAAUCGGAUGUUAUUCACUCUAACAAAAGUGGUAAAUUGUUUUAUUUGAACUCAAGGGUUGAUGUAUCAAAAUUUACCCAUUUUUGUUUAUUGUUAUUUUAUGUUUUAUGGGUUUGCAUUGAGAAUGGCUAAACAGGAACUUUGGGUGGUGCUGUUCUUCUUAUCUCAGACAUGCACAAAAAGAAAAAAGAAGUGUUUGUUUUGGAGAUAUAGACACAUGGAUGUUCUUUUGGUCACAAUUCUCAAAAGUGUUUUACUCCAUUAUUUGUUGGAAGUGGCAAUAUUUUUGUUAAAGGAGAGUUGCCUCAUUAUUUAAGCCAAUAAAAGUGGUAGUCACCAUCUCAAAAGAGCUGUUAAAAGUAAAAAAAAAAAAAGGUUUUUGGUGCUACUACCAUAUUUAAAAUUUGAGAUGGGUUGAUUUUUGAAAGCAAAGAGGGUGUCUAUAGAAAAUUUGAUUUUUCAGUCUAAGAUGAGGGCUCUGUUGUGGAUUUGGUCUGUGUAUAAUGAAGUUAAGUUGCAGAAGAGUUUUUGGUGAAUUUGUCCGAACAGGUGUAGUUUUGAUACUUGUGAAUCCAAGUCAACUGCUGCAUUUUGGCGACCUCCCCCUCGUGGAUGGUUAAAGUUUAAUGUGUGUGGGGUUGCAAAAGAUGGUAGAGCGGGAAGUGGCGGGGUAUUGAGUGAUAAGGAGGGUGUUGCAAGAGCAUUAUUUUCUGGUUCGGUGGCUGCUAACGAUGCUGAUGUGCCCGAGGCUGGUGCGGUAAAGGUGGCUCUGGAAGUAUUUUUAACUAUGAAUUGGAAAACUUAUGAUUCUUUAUUUAUUGAACUUGGUUCUUUGGUGUGUUUUCUUGGUGUGUUAACAAGGCAAUGAGACCUUAGUCUCUUCAAGCAAUUUUUGCAGGCAUCAAUAGAGAUUUGUUAAAGGCUGGAAAUGUUGUAUUCUAGGUGCAGAUAAGAAAGGUAAUGAAUUGGCAUUUUCCUUGGUGAUCGCUGGUGUUAAUAGGGAGAAAAUGUUUAAAGCUUGGUGGUGAGAUUUUUGUAUUGUUGCUCUAUUGAUGUAGUAAUGUUGCAAUGUGACUUUUUUAUCUGCUGAAAUUCUGUAUUAUUGUUAGAUAUUCUGUUUGUCUUUAGACAACAGCACAAUUCGAAUGUUGCAAAAAAAAAAAAAAUUGAGAUUUAGUCUUUAUAGUAAGGCUUAAUAUAACAUAUGGUACUUGAACUCGAUAGCUUUCUUUUUUAAUUUGGUAUUUAAGUUGUUUUUUUUAAUUCAAUUUGAUAUCUAAACCUGUCAAAUGUUAUCAAAUUACCCUAAAACAUUAUCGGUGUUAGUUUUAUAUGUGGGGACAAAAAUAGCUAAAGUUUUAUAUGAGGAGACAAAAAUAGCUAAUGUAUGACUGACAUAUGGUAGAUGACAUUAAAUUUAAUUGCAUGAAUGAUUACAUUUAUUUGGAGUUUCCUCUGUUUCACUAAGCAAGAUGUUCAAAUUUUAGUUUUCAUUGGGACUAAGAUUAUUUUAACUAUUAAUGUUAGGAAUGAUUUAAGAGGGACUACAUGUUUAAAGCAUGAUUAGGUCUUCACAAAACCCUCAAUUCCAUACAAAUAUAGUUAGUAUCAAAAGAAAUUCAUGUGCAAAAAAUUAUACUUUGAUAUCACAUGAAUAUUUAUAGCAUUCUAACAAACUUCUAAAAAAUCCAACAACAAAUGUGUGAAAAGUACGAGGGAACUCUUGAAAUUUGACAAAUUAAUUUUAAUAUCACAUGAAUGAGGAGUACUUGCUUUGCAAACUGAAAUUAUGGCUAAAAUAGUGUUUGAAACUGACAUCAUAAUUUUAACCACGAAAUAAAAAAAAAACAUGAACAAUAGUAAAAAUGAACCCCAAGAUUGAAUAUGCAGUUCAACCUUAGUCUAUGUCAACGGAACGAGGGGUACUUGCUUUGCAAACAGAAACGGUCGGUAAAAUAGUGUUUGGAACUAUCAUCAUAGUUUUAACAAUGAAAUUAAAAAAAAAAGUCCACAAAAGUUAAAAUGAACACCAAGAUUAUUUAUGCAGUUCAACCUCAGUCUAUGUCUGCAACGCCUUGUCCAAAGUAAUGACACAUAUCUUUCUCAGAGUACAACCAAUUAUUUAAGUUCUCAGAGUACAGCCAAUGAAUUAAGUCCUAAUACUGGUUUAACUCUCACCAAUUUAGCUAUCUCACCAUUGUUCAAAGACUAGAUUACUCUCCUACUAAGCUUCCCCCUCGAAAGCUUAGUUUUGCAACUUAAGAGACUCUCUUGAUUGCUUACAAAAACAAUGCACGCAUAAAACAUUACUAACUUGAACAAAUUUGUGCUCUCUCUAUCUCUUGGUAUUUUUUGGUUCACUUAACCUAGAUAAAACUUAAGUUUAUAUAUCACUUAAGCUUUGCUUACAUAAGAGUCAUAGUCUAAUAUCUUUUCUAUAAAAAAAAGGUACAAACCAAUGUAGGAUAAUAAUUCCAUAAGAGUCUUGAUGUAAUUCAAUGUCUUAAAAUAUGGAAAGUGAAUUUAUAUGAUCCGCAAAAACCAAUCUUUAAGUCUUUAAUCUCAACUCGAAUGGUUUCAUCUUUUGGGCUCUAACUUGUCCGAUUAUUUUCAAAAUAGGUAGCCCAACUUAUAUUAGGUCCAUAAUUGAGUUGGUAUUACGAGUAAACUGAGCAACAACUUAAUUGUGAAAUUACCAAAAUAGCUCUUUACAAAACAAGUUAUAUUAUUGUAGGAAGAUUUUCAUGUUUUUAUCUUUUAUAAAUAAUAAAAACUUAAACAUAGUACAAUAAAUUUUAAACAUUUAAUUUUUUUUUGUAUAUAUAAAAUUUUAAACAUAGUACAAUGAAUUAAUAACAUGAGAAAAACUAUAUAUAACUUUAUAUUCUUUAAACAUAUAAACAUACAAAUAUAUAAAAUGUAUUAAUAUCAAUAAAAAAAUAAUCAGUAUAUUAAAAUAUUAUAAUUUUUAAUCAAAAAUAGCACGAACAUUGAAACAAAUUUUUUAAUAUAAAUUUAUAGUAUUUUAAAAACAAAAAUUAAUACUACCAAAUAAAAACAUGCGAUUUUAAACACAAUUUUUUAUAUGAAUUUAUAGUAUUUAGAAAAAAUAAAAUAGUUCAGUGACUUUAAUAAAAAUUUUAGAAAGAUUCAAUAAUUAUUUUAUAAAUUUUUAAAAUUGAAUGACUGAAACAUAAAUUUAUUAAUAAUUUAAUAAAUUUAAGUGUAAAUUAUCCAAAAAAUUAACCAUGCUGAAUUAAAAAAACACCCAGUGUGAACAGAUGUUAUUCACUCUAACAAAAAAAAGGUAAAUUGUUUUUGUUUGAACUCAAUAAUUGAUGUAGUUUUUUUAUUGAUAUGGAAAAAGCCAACCAUUUUAAAUAACCAAACAACAACAAUAAUUACGGAAAGAAGGCCAAUUUUUACUUUAUUAUAUUUUAUAAGGGAAACGUGCAUAUAUUUUAUAAGAAAAAUGUACACAUAUUUUACUUUAUAUUUUAUAAAUAAUUUUAUAUUUUGUCAAUUAAACACUUGAAUGUUUACAACUAAUUGAACUAAACAAGAUAAUUUUACAUUACACCCGUCAUCUUAUAUUUUUAUAAUUCUCUUAUCAAGCGCAUGUAACCAAACAACGAAGAAAGAUAACAACAAUAGGUGUGAGAGAAAAAAUAAUUAAUAACUGUAAAAUAAUUUUUAAAUAGUUAAAAUUCAUGUAUUGUAAGGUAAUAAAAUAUUUAACUAAUUAUAAAUAUAGAUUCAAUAUUUUGCAUUCUAUAUAUUUUAAAUAAAUAAAGAAUAAAUCGAGGUAAUUUGGAUAAUUGAACCAAAGUUUUUUUUAUUUUUAUUUUUACCUUUGAAUGUUUGGCAUUUAUUGAAAUUUGAUUAUUUUUAAAUAAAUAUUUUUAAUUUUCUAUUUUAAUAUUGGUAAAUUGAAAUUUGUAAUAUUAGAGUUAAAACAUAUUGGUAAAUUGUAUACUUAAAUAUUUCAUUACUUAAUAAAAUUUAACAAAAUAUUUUACAUUUAAUAAAAUUAAAAAAGCCAAUAUAACCUUGGUAAAUAAAACUAAGAGUACAGUAUUCUAACAAAAAAUUUAAAUUCCAAAAUUAUAAAAAUAAUAAAAUUUGAUAAAUUAAACAUUGACUUAUUAUUUUUAAUUAUUAAUAAAUAUAAUUAAAUGUAUUCCUCCAAGUAAUAUAUAAAAGUUAAACGUAGUUACAAAGUGGAAACAGGACAAGGACCGGUAAUAAAACAAGACAAAGAGCACCGUCCCCAUUGCAUGCUCCCAUCAUUAUAUAAACCCUACAAUACUUACUAAACACAUCACACAUCAAACAUCCAAAAUAGUAAUACUUUCAUAUUUUCAACAAUGGCUACCCCUAUCUCACUCUCACUCUCAUCACUAGCUUCUAAAUCCCAGCAACUGGUGAGGAAUGAGCGUCGGAUGUUGGCCGCAUCCGACGAUGGUGCAAUGAUGAAGCAAAUUCAGUCGACUCAUGCCCCCGAUGGUCGUGUUGUUGAUGUUAAACCAAUUCUCCAAGUCAUUGACAAUGUGUUGCAUCAUAUCAUUCCCAACAUUGAUCAUGCUAUGAAUGUAAAUUUUGAUAACCCUAUGAUUUCAUGAUGUUUAUAUUCAUGAAAAUAGAAGGAUUUUCAAGAAAAUGGUAAUUUGUUUUUUGUCUUGUAGGGUGGAACGGGACCCAUCGAUGCUCUCGAUGAUCGGACCAACUCGUCUGCCGUUGAUGGUGCACUUGAUGCUUUGGCUUAUAUCGUACACAAAAUCUGCUGCGAGGUUCUUCGGCUCUUCUUUUUUCUUUCGGAAUCUCGAUCUUUUCCGAAACCGAAAAAGGACGAUAGUAACAUUUGAUGUUUUGUAGGUAUCAUGCAAGUGUUCAGGAGGAGGGGAUGCUCAUGCAACAACAAUGGGGAUUCUCAACAUGCUUUCAAGCUAUUCGUGGGAUGCAAAAGUGGUGCUAACAUUAGCUGCUUUCGCAGUGAAUUUUGGGGAAUUUUGGCUGAUCGUUCAGCUUUGCACUUCCAACUCAUUGGCCAAAUCCGUAGCUCUCCUCAAGCAGUUACCCGACAUUUUAGAGCAUUCCCCAACAUUGAAACCCCACUUUGAUGCACUUAACAAGCUCAUCAAUGCAAUGAUUGAUGUAACCAAGUGCAUUGUUGAGUUCACUGAGCUACCUUCUGAGUUUAUUUCGAUCGAUGUGCCACCAUUGUCGACCGCCAUGGCUCAUAUCCCCACUGCUACCUACUGGAUCAUUUGGAGUGUCGUCGCUUGUGCUGCACAGGUUACGGGUCUUGUAGGGAUGAGACACGAGUGAGUGAUGAAUUUUUUACGUGCUCUCAAUAACACAAUAUAAUGACCAAAUUUAUCAAUAAUCAAAUCUUUUGUUCUUUUUUUUUGGUUCAGGUUCAUUACAUCGACUUCGGAGGCAUGGGAACUAUCAAGCUUGGCACAUAAAGUUAGUAGCAUACAUGAACACCUUCAAAGUCUAUUACGUCUUUGUUAUCAACGCAUUGGUAAGUCCAUCCUAGAGAAAUCUAGAAACAUAAAUCAUAUAUGUAUAUAUAUGCUAAAAAGUGCAAUGGAUCAUUUAUAUUAAUAGUUCGGUUGUAUUUUACUUUUUAUAUUAAAAAAGUGAGUAAAUUAAUCAUUAUAUAUUAAAAAUUGAUGAAAUUUUUAAUAGAAAGAAUCAUGUUGCUCUUUGAUCUAAUAUAUAAAGACUAAUUAUCAAUUUUAUAAGUAAAAGGGACAAAAUACAAUCUAACUCUUAAUAUAAAAGCCUCAAUAGUAUUUUUACCUUAUAUUUAUAUAAAGAGAUGACACAUAAUGAUAAUGAGAUGCAGAUGAGAAGAAGCUAUUGGAAGCUUUUGAAGACUUCAAGCGUACUAUUGAAACACCUCAAAUGGACAACUUGAAGAUUCUCCUAAAAAUAUUCCGCAAGGAAGAGACUUAUUAUCUCUUGAAUCCAGACAAGACCAAGGUUGAUUUAAUUCCAUGUUCCAAGUUUCAACCAUGUUUUUAAAUUGAUUGGACCGUAUAUUAACUUCAUAUAAAUUUAGCAGGUUCUUAUCGAUGUCUUGAGAAGAAAGCAUGUUUUAUUGCUCAUUUCAGAUCUUGACAUCUCCCAUGAGGAGAUUCGAGUUCUUGAGGCUCUUUACAAAGGUGAAAGGGUAUCAUCUGAGCUUAACUAUGAGAUCCUAUGGCUCCCAAUCGUGGACAGAUCAACUUGGAAUGAUGGUUAUGAACAAAAGUUUUUGAGCUUGCAAUCAAUUAUGUCAUGGUAUACAGUGAACCAUCCUUUCGCCAUUGAACCAGCAGUGAUUAAAUACAUAAUGGAAGUAUGGGGUUUCGUUAAGAAACCAAUUGCGGUGACAUUGGAUCCACAAGGAAAGGUUUUAUGCCCAAAUGCACUCAACAUGAUGUGGAUAUGGGGAAAUUCAGUUUUCCCAUUUAGCAGUGAAAAAGAAGAAAGUUUUUGGAAAGCUGAAGCUUGGACCCUUGAGCUUCUCGUUGAUCGUCUUGAGCCAAACUUACCUACUUGGGUACAUGAGCAUCUCCAUAUAACUUUAAUAUACAUAUGUAUAUCAAUUAAUAAGCUUAAUUUAUUCAUGGUUUUGCAUGGUUUCUUAUAUAAUCAGGUGAACCAACAGAAAGUGGUAUGUUUCUAUGGUGGUGUGCAAAUGGAAUGGAUCGAAAGUUUUACUACCGUAACAAAAGGGGUUGCGAAGGCUCUCGACAUUGGCUUAGAAAUGGUUUAUGUUGGCAAAAACAAUGCAAAGGAACGAGUGAAAAAGAUUACUGGUCUAAUCAAAGAGAAAAAACUUAGCCACGCUUGGGAAGAUGACAAUGUGUGGUUCUUUUGGAACCGAUUAGAGAGCAUGUUGUACUCGAAAACACAACAUGGGAAAGCCAUUGAAAACGAUUUUAUAAAGCAAGAAGUGAUGACCUUGCUUGCAUAUGACGGUAGUGAAAAUGGAUGGGCAGUGUUCUUCACUGGUUCAGAUGAAAUGGUGAGAGCCAAUGGAGAGAAAGUGCUUAGCAGCAUGAAGAGCUUUGAUGAAUGGGAAAAACUUGCGAAGCAAAUGGGGUUUAUCCCAGCACUUCGUAAACAUUUGGAAGGGAUUAUCGAUGAACAUCACUGCACUCGCCUUAUCCUACCGGGAAACAGUGGCGGGAUUCCGGAGAAGGUGCAGUGUGCUGAGUGUGGACGUCCGAUGGAGAUGUAUUUCAUGUAUCGCUGCUGUGUUGAGUGAGCUAAACAAAGCCAAAAAAUUACUUUUGGGAGGGACCAAGUAAAAGACUAGAAAUAAAAAUAACAAUCAUCAUAGUUUGAUGUUUGUUUAGAGUUAUUUAUGAUUAUCAUAUCUAAAGUCUACGAUGUAGUGAUGUUUGUGCGGCUUCUAAUAAUGUUUAGGGAUCUUUUAUUAGCCCACGCCGGCUAUCAAAGAGCCUUAGCUGAUUUUAUAUGAUUGUGUGUUUUGUUUGUAAGAUUACUUUUGCCAAAUAUAGUGUUUUCCAAGUUUAUGGCUUGGAUUUAUGUUUUCACUUUUAAAUAAAGUAUUUGCUGGUUGUAAUAAUAAACCAUCACCAAUAUUCCCUUUCAAAUACCUUGAUAUAUCCUCUUGACUGCCUGCCAAUGUGAAUAGUAAGGAUUACUCAUACACUAACCCAUUUAUUUAUGUUCGAAAUUGAAUCAUAAAAUUUUUAAAGGUUAAAAUAUAAUAGUAAAAAUUAUAAUGGCUAAUUAAUUUAAUUUUUACUUCUUUUUCACUUAUUUAAUAUCAUUUAAUUAAAAAAAUAAUUUAAAGAAAGCUACAAGACACAUAUACUGAUAAGACUCAAAAAAAUUUAUAAACUUUGAAAACAAAAACGCUCACAUGAAUCCAUAAUCUCCUUGAGCCUAGUUCACAUCAAAUAAGUUGCUUAAAGCAUCACCAGCUAAGUAUAAACAGUUGCCAUCCUUAACUUCAAAGACUGAUAAGCAAGUAAGAAUGCCAUACUCAAUGCACCACUAGUUUCUUAAUGGCCGAAACAAGAUGAAAAGGAACAACAAACCAUAAUCUAAACAUCACGAUUCGCACCCGUUAAUGCAAAUCAAUAAUAUCAAAAAAUAAAGACACUCAUGCCAAAGCGAGGCAGCAGUCCAAUCACAUUUCACAUCACCAAUUCUUUAAAAAAAUCAAACCUCCUCCACCAAAAUUCAUCCAACAACAAAAGCAUCGACCAAGGCUGUGACAAACCAAUCACUCUGAAAACCAAAAUGUAAACUUGUUCCUAUGUCAAGAUCAUCAAUGCUAAACUUUUGGAUUGAAAAUUUACAAUUCAGCACAACAAUGAGUCAUAUCUAUUCACUACCAUCUUCACAUGCAAAAUUACACUUCCCCUUCUCCACACUAUCAAACACCAGCUCCAAUGUUACACUAAAAAACCACCAGAAUUUAUCCUUUAACAGAACAUCAAAACCUUCCAUUAUUGUUGUUCUCUCAAGACUUAAAAACCAAUAGAAAAGUCAACAAUAGUCCAUGUAAACCAAAUCCCAAGGUCAUAUCUUUUCAAUUUUAAAAGGUAAAGAAAUUUCACAUCUUAAAAUAAAUGUAUAAAUGUAUCUCCACACCACAAUGAGAAUAUAUGGUCGCAACAACCGAUUCAAAAAUGAAUUCAUACGAUUGACAUUUACCAAUUCAAAAAUUAUAUAUUUUUAUAAUAGUAAAAAUGUAAUUUCGACAUUUUAAUAGCCUAUAUCUUUAUAAUUUUUAGAGGAUUAAAUUAAUUUUUUAUCAUUUUUUAGGGAACCAAAAUACAAUUUAUCAUUACUAAUUUAAAAUUUUAUAAAUUAUAAACGGCUUAAAUGAAAAAUCUUCCAUUUUAAGGGGCCGGGGUCCAUUCCAACCCCCCUCGAUCCGCCCUUGCCAACAAAGGUCUCAUAUUGAACCUACAAGAGGUCUGCGAUUAACCCUUCAUGGGAUUAGGGAUGGUUUCAACCCGAGCCGAAUCAUUAGGGUCAAUUUUUUUUGACAUAUCGGGUUCAAGACGGGUCAGGUUGGGUGGAAUUAGAAAAAAUAGUCAUUCCGGGUUAGCGUUAAAUUUUAGGUAAAUUCGUCCUACCUUGUCCUAAGAUAUUUACAAAAUGCCCUUAAUAUAUAUAUUAAUUUUUUUCUUUCAAUAAAUAAGUAUAUUAAAUUUUAAAUCUAAACUAAAAAAAAAUCUUAUUUGCUUCAAAAUAAAAAAUAAAAUAAUAAAAAAUGUUAUCUUAUUUGCUUCAAAAUAAAAAUAGAACAAUUAAAUUAAAUUUGAGUUGGGUUCAAGUCUCCAAUUAAAUUUUGGGUUCAAGUUCGGAGUAGAUUGGUCAAAGUUCGGGUCAAGGUCGGGGCAAGAAAAAAUCCGCCUCGCCCCAUUACCAUCCGACACCUUUCGCUUAAGAUUUCUUUCCUGAGACUUCUUGCCUAAAGACGAACGAACCCACCUAUCAUUUGGCACUCUAAAGGACAAUAAUGUCAAAAUAAGAUAAUCCAUAACAUAGAUAAAACCACGCAACACAUACCAUAAAGACAACUAACCUGCAACAAUAAUACUGAUUUGGCAUCUAACUUCUAACCUUUGGUUUAUCCGCACAACCAUACGACUCACUCUAUGUGACUAUAAAACAAAGAAUAUCCCAUUAUAUAAAUCUAGGCACACAAGAGAAAAAGGAUUCACUAGAAAUCAUUUCUCUUCUUCUUUCACUCUUUAUCAUCCAGUUUUUCGCCUGAACCGAACUUUAUCUUUACCAUCGGGUACUUAUUAUCAUAUUCAAAUUUUAAAGAAUUUUAUAGAUUUGAAUCCAAAUUUUAAAGCAACAAUACGAAUCUUGAUUCCAACCUUAAAAAGAAUACAGGUAUUAUAUAUGCUAUCAUCCCUAAACAAAAUCAAAUAUUAUAUGCUCUUGGAAAAAUAAAUACCCACUUCAAGUAAACUUUAUUGCUUCAGUUGGGUAAUAUAUACGAGUCUCGUGACUCACAAUUAACCAAGGAAAAUUUUAAUUUAUACAACCAACCACUUGAUUAUGAUAAAGAUGAGUAUUAAAAUUAUAAUAAUAAGCAGUAAAUGGAAAUAAGAUAGCACAUAUUUCAACACGCUCUGUGAAUAUUUUAAUGUGUUUGAGAAAUGAAAUAUUGGAGUAGCUGGCUGCUUAGUUUCUAAGAUUAGGAAUAUCAUGCAUACAUCAUUAUAUUCUCAAACCCCAACUACUCCAACUUUACAUCCUCACCUCAGGAAACACCGGUUUAAUUCACCUAGUUCUACGGGUUUUGAGCGAUUCUCUCAAAAACUGAUUCAAUCUUCUGUUUAGAUUAAUAUAUUAAUCAAUUCUUGGUCUGAUUGGCUAGUCUAAUCAAAUUCUGACAAUCAUAUAUUAUAAGUUAAAAGAUUUCAAUUAUAUAUAAAGAGAGAAAACCUAAGUUAUCAAUGAUUGAUAAAAACAUGUGAUUUAUAUAUAAUUUCUUUUUUAAAUUAGGAUAUUUACUACUCCCCACAGUAAUUAAUCCCUGCUAUUCGAAAAGAUUAACAUUUAAUUUUGUGUUUUAUUCCCAUGAAGGGAUAUCAAACCUCUGAUCAUACAAGUAAGAGAUAAAAUGAGAAACCAUUACUUCAUAUGCUGAACUUUCUGGUUUAGAUAUAGAUAUUAUACUCACUCAAAAGAAAAAGAAAUUAAGUUGUUCCAUUUAGCAGAGUAGUUGUUAGAGCAGUUAGAACAAAAAUUUGCGUCUGUCUAGCCUUUUAUGGUAGACUAUUAUAUAAUAUAUAUAUACAUAACUUCAAAGAUACUGGCCAAAUCAUAUUAUUAUUUAACUAUCUUUAUAUAUGAUAUGUAGUUUUUUAUCAUAAAUAGCCACUAGCCAGCCAAUCCAUUAUCACAUAUUUAAUAUAUCAUCUUCUUCUCUUAUAUAUACAUAUAUUCUUCUUAAUUUGUGUAUUUGCUAAAUAGUAACCAUGGCUACCACCGAAUCCUCAAAGCCUUGGAGACCAUUUACUUCAAAUUGCUGUUCAGCUGAUAACCAAACAAUUUUGGGCAAUUUCAGCCGUUGUAGGACAUCCAAAUCCGAUUUCUCAAAGAACAUUGCUCCGUUACCAUCGUUUCGACGAUUGUCAUUUUCCGAUCUUAGCCGUUCAUCGUCGAUACGUAUCAACGAGGAUCUUGCACAAUCUUUUGGUCCCGAUUUGUAUGAUUUUCAACUAAGUGAGCUACGGGCUAUAACCCAGAAUUUUUCUGCCAAUUAUAUGCUAGGAGAAGGUGGGUUUGGGACUGUGCAUAAAGGUUACGUGGAUGAGAAUUUAAGGCAAGGGUUGAAACCUCAAGCUGUUGCUGUCAAGCUUUUGGACAUUGAAGGUCUACAAGGACACCGUGAAUGGCUUGUAAGCUUAUUUACACCUACAUGGACUCCUUGAAUCACUGUGGAAUCUUUCUUAAUCAUUAUAUAUAUAUGGGUGUGUUGCAGGCUGAAGUGAUAUUGUUGGGGCAACUACGGCACCCACACCUAGUGAAAUUGAUUGGGUAUUGUUGUGAAGACGAACAACGUCUCCUUGUCUAUGAGUUCAUGGCCAGAGGAAGUUUGGAGAAUCAUUUAUUCAAAAGCAAGUAUUUCCGACAAUUAAACUCGGUAGUAUUCAGGGUUUAAAGUUUAAGAUUAUAAAGCUUUGCUGGCAAAAUUUUGGAAAAUUUUUAUUGAGCCUUUUAGAAGUUCUAAAAAAAAUUAAUUAGAUUUUUAAAAAUUCUUAUUAAUUCUUUCAAAAAAUUUAAAUUAAUUUCUUAUUAAGUCUUUAAAUUUUUUAAAAUUUUAAUUAAACCCCUAAAAUUUUUAAAAUUUUUACUUAAUCCGUCUCGUACUUAAUUAUACAUCAUCUAUAUCUACCAUCUAUAUUUAUAUUUAAAUCCUAAAUGAGUUGAAAUCAUGAGUGAACCAAGCAUCAACUCAGUCUCGAUUAUAAUAAUAUUUAAACACAUAAAACAAUCAAUUUUAAACAUUUAACUUUACAAUUUCAACUAAAACCUCGUUUAAUUUUUAUAUCAAUUUUUAAAAAAUAUAUUUCUUACAUAAACAAAUUUUCACCCAUUACCAUAAUAUAGUAUAUAUAAUCCUCACGUUGUAAAAACUGAAGCCCGAUAAACAGAUUAAAUAUUCCCAAUUUAAUAGUUAUAAUUUUAAAAAAAAAAUUAACUUGAUAACAGGGCCGGGGAUCUCAACAUCACUACCAUGGGGAACCAGAUUAAAGAUAGCCAUUGGAGCUGCGAAAGGGCUUGCAUUCUUGCAUGGGGCUGAGAAUCCUGUCAUAUAUCGUGACUUCAAAACUUCCAAUAUCUUGCUUCAUUCUGUACGUACGUGUGUUUACUGUUUGCAAACAUAUAUAUAUGGCAAGCUUAAUUAGCUUUAAAAAUCUAUAUUUAUGUAAGACCAUUUCUUGAUUAAUUUUGCUUUAUCAGGAUUUUACAGCUAAACUAUCGGAUUUUGGACUUGCCAAGAUAGGACCUGAGGGCUCAAACACGCAUGUCACAACUCGCGUUAUGGGUACCUAUGGUUAUGCUGCCCCAGAAUACGUAUCAACAGGUUAGGAUCUAUCUAUCUAUCCAUAUGUGUUAUGAUUGAUGGCAUCUGAGAUGAAUAGAAACUGACCAUGACAUGACACUAUUGUUAUGAUUGAUAUACAUUCAGGUCACUUGACCACAAAGAGUGAUGUUUACAGUUUCGGAGUAGUAUUAUUAGAGAUGCUUACAGGAAAAAGAGCAGUGGACAAAUCGCGGUGUAAGAAUGAGCAAAACCUAGUUGAUUGGGCUAAACCUUACUUAAAUAGUAGUCGAAGGCUGCGCUAUAUUAUGGAUCCAAGACUUGGCGGCCAGUAUUCAGUGAGAGGAGCAAAACAGAUGUCUCUUCUAGCUUUACAAUGCAUUAGUUUGAACCCAAAAGACAGGCCGAAGAUGACAGUCGUUAUUCAAACACUUGAAUCCUUACUAGAGUACAAGGACAUGGCAAUCUCUUGUGGGCAAUGGCCUGUCUCCUCAAACUCUACUAAAAAGACUGGACUUCCUAGUUCUGCUCCUAAUUUUAGAGCACAAAGUAGAUCAAGUUCAGUUGGUGUUCAGAAUAAAAAACCCAAUUCAGCUGUUCCAACUCCAAGGAAGGUUGUAUGAUUCAUUCAGGUCAACCAUAAUAUAUAUUAUAUAUUUCUUUUGUAAUCUUUAAUGUAUUUAUGAUUGUAAGUAUAUAUAAGCAAGUUUCAAAAAGUAAUGCAGCUGUGCUUUGUAAAUAUUUGAACAAUGGGGACGAGCUGCUAUAUAUCAUGUAUACAAGUUUUCAAAACAAAAAAAAUUAAAGGAAAUGCAGUUGUCGAAGUAAGUUGCCACUUGACACGUAAAGGCAACAUAGUUAGGCAGGUGUUCAUCAUUACCAGUUUUUUCACUAAUUGAGUCAUCGUCACUCCAUGUUAUUGGUAUACCACCAACAUAGUUAUAAAUGCGUAAUUAGGAUAUUAUUUUAAUAACUCAAUAUCGAUUCCGUGAGCACAUAAACACAUAGGUUUAUCUUAUUUUUAAGAUUUUUUAGGAUUUUUAUACACCUCUUUUCAUUUAUUUUUUUAUUUUAUUCUGUCCCUUUUUAAUUAUUCAAAUUUUGAAUUUAUUUAAUUAUUUUUCUAUUUUAAUUGUUCCUUUAAUUUUGUUUAGAUCUAAUUUUGAUUUGUUUGCGCUUCAGAUUGUCUCAAAAUUCAAGUUUCUUUUCGAUCAUCUAGAGCUUUAAGUCAAAUCCACAACUUGGACAAGUGUUAAUAGGUUAAAAAACGUUGCAUAUAAGUUUGUCAAAGUCGAGAAUUUGACUUAGGGCUAUAAAUGAUCAGAAAGAAACUUGAAUUUUGAGACAACUUGAAACGCAAACAAAUCCAAGUUAGAUCUAAAAAAAAUUAAAGGAAGCAAUUAAAAUAGAUAAUUAAGAUAGAAAAAGUAAUUAAAUAAAUCCAAAAGUUGAAUAAUUAAAUAAGAACAAAAUAAAAUAAAGAAGAUAGAUGAAGAAGAUGGAAAGUGACGUAUAGAAGUCCUAAGGAGUCUUGGAAACAAAAUGAAUCCACAACCCCCUUCAAACGACUCUAAUUUCUUCUCCAAAAAAAGAAAACUUGGUUAGAAAAAACUUGAAGAUGAUUUUCAAAAUUUGAAAAGAUUAUUAAAACUCUUCUAAAAGAAAACUCAAGAGAAAUUCUUUAAAAAAAACUCAAAGAGAAUUUUAUUAACUCAAAAUGAAUAAUUAAUGAAUUGAUUGAAUUGUGUAUAAUGAAGAGGCCUUUAUAUAGGCUAGCUUACAUCUAAAUAAAACUCUCAAGUAUACUGAAAUUCUAGUUAAUCUAAACAAAUAGUUUUAAACUAAGCUUUCUUGAUGACAUAAAACUCCCGUCCAGAAAUUCUGCUCGCGUAGGUUUCACUAAGACGGUCAUAACUUGAGUUCCCGAACUCGAAAUCGAGUGAUUCAAAGUGUAUUUCAAAGCUAAAAGAUAACUCUUCCAAGACCAUGUAGACAUCUAAGCCCAUAAAUUCCUGGAUCCCAUCAAAAAAUUCAUUGCAAGUUGACUAAUCUUUUCAACUUGAAAAUUUAAAUUAAAAAUGUCAAAAGGAAUAUCACAAUUAAAAUUUAAGAAAAUAAAUACAAAGAAAGCCUAGUCAAAGGUAAAAUCUCAUUUUUUAUUCAUGGGUUUGAUCAUUGAUGCAGAUAUAAUUUACAAUAUUCUGUGAUAAAUUGGUUAUAGUUCCUGAUUAAUGCUUAGAAACCAAUCUUUUUUUACCUUCUCAAUAAUCAAGACAAACAUCAUUAAUUAUUUCCUUCAUUGAUAAAUAACCUUAUAACGAAUGCUUAGGAUUCAAUUUACCAAUAGCUUUAAGAAUGAAAGAGACCCGAUUCUAGCCAAUAAACAUACAAAGGUUCACUAAGACCAUAUCACAUAUGCAUAUAACAAGAAUUGCAUGCUUCAACAUGUACAACCAUGUCAUUCAUCACAAGUAUUAGAACUAGUUAAACAAUUAAAUUCUAUUUAACAAAUCAAAUAUUACAAGCAACCGAAGACAGACUCUAUAUUCAAUAAACUUGAAUAUUUAAAAUUAAAAUGAAAGAUAUCCAAAUACCAAAGAAAAAGAAAAGAUGGAGUAUAAAUUAGAUCUCACAUACUUUUAGAAUCAAAACGUCAAAAUUCCUUUGACUAGAAAAAGAGUUUAGCAACUUAGCAAAAAUAAAACACAAAAAUGAAAUAAUAUUAAGGUAGCUCUAUGUGACUAUCUUUAAUUCUAAACCUAAAACUAUGUUUUUAUAGGGAAAAAUUGCGUAAGAGAGAAAAAAAAGUGCCUUUAAUAAAUUAAAUGAGAUUUUCUAGGCUUUUGGUAGAUUUACAUUGCAAAUUUCUAGGACACUAUUGGGCACCUUCUUGAUGUUUUAAUUCUGAGUCGUGAAAUGAAUCCACCUAGAUCUUUUGAUUCCCUUAGAAAUAGUAUAUUAUGGGCUCAAAUCAGAGUCCUUUAGCUCAAGAUAUGAUCAACAUACUGAAGCAAUAUAAGUUGAAAGUCCAAUCCGUAAAAACUUACCAAAAAUAAUCUUUAAAGUCAUUUUUUUCCAAUUAUUUCACCUAAUAUAUGAGAAUAAAAUACAAGUUUGUUGAAAUAUUUGAAGUUGUUGUAAUGUACUUGAAGAAGUGCUCACUUUUUUCACCACCACGAUAAAAAAACUUGUCAUAUUUAGAAGAUUGACUAUUUAUUAAAUCGUAUCUUUAGGCUAAGAUGAGAUUUUGGAUUGUAUCAAGCCAAUCAAUGAAGAGUAAAUCACUUGGAGAAACUUAUUUAAAAGAUCAGAUUGGAUUGGACUGAAUCGGAUCGAGUAAAUCAAAUCGCUUAGUUUGAGGAAGUUAGAACGAAGUUCUAAUUGAAACAUUGAAGUCUUAUCUGCCAAUAGUCCAUAUUACAUUGGUUGUUUAUAUUAUAUUAUAUUAUAUUAUAUUAUAUUAUAUUAUAUUUCAGCUAUUUUAGGUACUAUUUAGGAAGGAUCAUGACUGAUCUUUAUUAUGUUAGCAAGUCUUAAAUUUCUUAUAUAAUUAAAAGACCUGUAUAGGUUGAUGUACUAAAUUUUAAGAGCACUUAUCUGUUUGAAAUGAGUAAAAUUAUUUGUAGCAGUGCAUUUGAUUGUAAAACAUGUAUUGUGGUUUUACAAACUAAGUUCUUAAGAGGAGAAUUUAAUAGUGAGAGAUCUAGUCUUCAAGGUACAAGAGUGAGGAUUCCAAACGUGGGAGUGUUAGAAUUUGGUUUACUGGUUGUAAUUGUUUAAAAAUUGUGGAUUCUUCACUGAGAUAGGCUCCGCAAAUGUAGGAAAAUUGAACUUCAUAAACAACUUUGUUGUCCCUUGUCACAGUUCUUGCAAAAGUGCCCAUUUUCUCAAUCACUUCUGCUCAUACUUUGUUUGUUACUUAGCAAUUGUUUCAGGUUAACAAUUGGUAUUAGAGCUUCCUACUUAAUAAUAAUUAACCACCAAACUAUAUUUCAAUAACCAACUCAUACCCAAAAUAAUGUCAAACUCAUGAAACGACAUUACCAUAAGAUUAGCCAAAAAGACAACUCAUUGGAUCUCAAAAGGACAUUGCUUACAAACUCUAUUGACUACCGCAUUUUGUCCCCAAAAGACUAGAAGUAGAAAUCUAUUAUCUCUAACAACUCUACUAGAAUACGCCAUCUUUAAUCGUACUAAUAUAGACAUAUGAAUAAGCAAACCCUAAAUAAAUUAAUGCAUGAAUUGAAACAAAAAAAUAGAGAAAAUACACAUGUAACCACAUCGAUAGCUCCCUUUAGAUGGAUCACCAGUGAUGUGGUCAUCUUUGACAUAUGAGAGCUCCCUUAGGUGGCUAGCUUCCUUCUCCACUUGACUUGGUUCAUGAAGAUCAUCUUGCUUAGGCUCUUGAACCAACUCAUCUUGUGCUUACUAUUGUUAUGAUGCUUCACUUAGAUCAUCUUGAUAAAAUUUUACAUCAUCAAUAUCAAAAGACUCUUUUCUAGAAGGAGAACUAGAUUUGUCAAAACUAACAAGUAUAGACUCCUCAACCACUAAUGUUCUUUUAUUAAAAACUCUAUAGGCUUUAGAAAUUGUAAAAUAUCCAAGAAAAAUACCUUUUGGCAUGAAAUUUUCCCAAAGUAUAUUUUCCAUUAUUUAAAAAAAACAUUUGCAAUAAAAAAGAUGAAAGCAGCUAAUGUUACGCUUUCUACCUUUAAAAUGUUUAAAUGAAGCUUUCUUUAAAAUUGGCUUAACCAUAGCUCUAAUUAUAAUGUAGCCAAAAAUAUAUUGACAAAUCAUUUUCACAAAAGUAUGAUUCCAGUCAUUUCCUCUAAGAUCUUAUUUUUCCUCUCAAUAACUUCAUUUUGUUAAGGAGUUCUAGGUGCCGAAAUGUAACGACCCAAAAUUUACGGGUAUCAAAAAUUUAAAUUUUCGGGUCAUAAUUUCCACAAAAUGAAUUCGUAAAUAUUUAUUAGAAAUAUUUACGAAGCUAAUAGUGUAGUUAAUUAUACUUUGGUUAAGUGAAUUAGCUUGAAUUAAGGCUUUAGUGAAAGGACUAGAUUGAAUAUAGGGUAAAAGUUUAAUUAUGGACUAAAGAAAAUUGAAGGGACUAAAUUAGCAAAUAAGCCUUAUGUGACAAGUGUGUGGUAAGUAUAAAUACAUGUGUAUUAUUUUAAUAGGUACAAAUAUAUCUAUAUAUAUGUAUUUGCUUAUUAUUUAAGAAAUAAUAAUUAUAAUUAAAAAAUAUAAUAUAAUAAUAUAAAGUAAAAUAAAUAAAAGAAAUAAUAAAAAGAAUAAAGAAACAAAAGUAAGAAACACAAUAGAGAAGUAACGAAAAUUGAGGGAAAGAAAGAAAGAAAAAGAAAAAGAAAAAUAGGGUUUUGAGGUUUGAGGCUUAAUUGGUAAGUCAAUUUAGUCCCUUUUUGCUUGUAAUUUUGAUGUUUUUGGAAUCCUAGACCAAAGCUCUACUUGAAUUAAGUUGAAAUUUAGAAAGUUAGUGGAUUUUUAAAUGUUAAAUAGAUGAAUUAUGUUAUAAAGUGAUAGAAAUUCAAAUUAGAAAUGGGAGAAGGAUUGAAUUAUAAAAAGAGAUAUAAGUUUUGCUAUAGUAGGGACUAAAUUGUCUAAAUUGUAGAAUUGAUGUUUUAUAUUGUAUAUGAAGAGUUGAAACUUGUUUAAAGUAGGUAUUAAAUGAAAAUAUAGGAUUUAUUUGAAGAAAAAGAAUGGUUAUAGUGGAAGGACUAAAUUGGAAUUUUUGUAAAAGUUACAUGGAAAAUAGAAGAGUGUGUUAUUAAAUGAUAUGUAUUGAUGAUUUUAAAUGUUAAUUUUCCGUAGCUAACGUAGCACCGGAAACGUUAUCAAAGAAGGGAAAAGAGAAAGUGAGCGAAGAUAACGAAUAAACUCGAGAAUUACAGUUUGUAUUUCUAUAACCAAACUUAAUAGUUAUUUUGAUACAUAUUAUUGAUAUUAUGUAUGGCUAUUGAAAUUAAGGUAAGUAUUGAUAUUGUAGUAUGGUGUUGAUUUAUGAAUAUUUGAAUUGAAAUGUAUAUUGAUUUUUUAUGAUGAAUUGAAAGUGAAUUGAAUACCCUAUUAACAGUAUCGGGCUAGUCGGAUAUAACUGGCAUGCCAUAGGAUUGGAAGUGUUCAGGGAUAUUCCGACUUUGUGUCGAUGAGACAAUAUAAGUGUCGCCUUACUGUUAAUGUUACUGUUACUGUUCCGAAUUCGUCUCGAUGAGGUACUCUGUGUACCGCUACUGUUACUAUUACUGUUACUGUUAUCAUUACGGUGUAUUCUGGCUCUGGCCGAUGAAACACUGUAUAUUAUCCCGGUGUGUGGGUUGGAUCCGCAUAUCCAUCCAUGUCCGAGUUAUGUUAAUAGGGGAAAACUAUUGUACUGAAUACUGAAAGAUACUGAUUGAAACUGUGUUUUCUUAUUGAAUAUGAUUUUAUUGAUAAGUGUUACUGUGAUAUAAGGAUAAUUGAAUGAAAACUUAUGAAAUUCUUAUUUUUAGAAUUUAUGGUUAUGCAUGUAUUGGUUUAUAGAAAUACCAUUGUGUAAUGCCCCCACGCCCGAGACCGUCGCUGGAGUCGAGCUUGAGGUGUUACCGAACAUAAUUUAUCGAAUUAAGAACUUCGAAUCAUUUAUUUCUACAUUCACAGCUUUCUAGCUACCUGCGUCACAGUUACAAGAAAAAUCAUAUCUCGAGUUACAAAACUUGAAAUCAAGAUCUGUAAAUUUUCCUUAAAUCUAUAUUCAUAUAUCUAUUUACUAAUUUUUUUCUAGAAUUUUUUGUUGGGCCAAUUAGUACAUUUUAUUAGUUAAAGUUACCCCUAUUUCAGGACUUCACUCGACUGACGUCUGUUUACUACGAACCAUAUUUCUCUCUAUGAAAAGUUUAUAUUACUAUGAAGUUUACUUAUUCAGAAACUAGACUCAAUAAGGAUUCCAAGAAUAUAAAAUACACCACCUAAUUAUUUUUUUACAAUUUAUGGUAAAUUUAUAAAGUUGGAGCAAGGGAUCCAGAAAUCGCUCUGGCCCUGUUUCACUAAAAUUCAAAUAUCUUAUAACAUAUAAUUCCUUUACUUGUUUCAUUUGUUUUAUAUGAAACUAGACAUACUAGGCUUCAAUGUCAUAUUUAAUCCAUCACCAAAUUAAAUUUCUAUGAUUUUUAGUAAAUUUUCAAACUCAUGUCGGUGUUGCUGUAAUAUUCUGUUUAUGGCAAAUUUCAUCUUUUCAUGAGUUUUUAUGAUCUAGAUAACGUAUUAAACUUCCAUGACAUUAAACAUGAUCUAACUUAGCAUUUUCCAUGACUUAUCAUUAUUAAGCAUUUUCUCAACCAAAUCAUGGCCAUAUCACAAAAUUAUUUACACAAAAUAGGUGUAUUGCUAUACAUGCCAUACUUAAGUUUUACAAGCCGUUUACCAAAAAGAGUCUUUAGGAUAGUGUGAUCGAACCUUCGACCUGUCCCGAUUCCUAAGCCGGCUUGUUCAAAACUACAGUGAAUGAAAAGGAGGGAGUAAGCAUAAAUGCUUAGUAAGUCAUAUGCAAAUAACAAGUAACAUAACAAUACAAUUAUACCAAACAACCUUAGCAUGGUAUCACCAAAACAUAUAUCACAUUUCUAAACAUCAUUAAUCAUCUUACCACCUUAUCGUUGUUGUAUCUAUUUUCAACCCGAAGGUUAAGUACAUACCUGUCCAAAGUGUCCAUUUCACAAUACUUACCAAUACGUCACCUGCAUCUUAAGUGUUCUUCCAUUUCACUAGAAAUUUUACCCGUUGAACACAUCGGAAUAUAACUCGGAUACAUAGAUAAUUUGCACAUAAGUGCCAUAUUUGUAGCCAAGCUACCAUGUAACCCGCCCAUAAGUGAACUCGGACUCAACUCAACGAGCUUGGGCGUUCGCAUCCAUAAGUGAACUCGGACUUAACUCAACGAGUUCGGAUGCCUAGUUACAUCUCACGAACUCGGACUCAACUCAACGAGUUCGGACAUUUCACAUCCAUAAGUGAACUCAGACUCAACUCAACGAGUUCGGAUGUUCAACCAUCCUAGUGACAUGUCACUUGUAUCCUAAUCUAUUCCUAAGGUUCAAACGGGAUUUUCCUCGAACACAUAUCCUUUCCAUCUUCCGUAAAAUACCGAAACCAAUACUCGGUAGCACUUUAUAUUUAACAAAUAAUACACUUAAUUUGCAUUUUAUUCGAAAAUAACCACAAAGCAUAUAUUUCAUGAUAAAAAUCAACAUAUCAUAUAUUUAACAUCAAUAAAUUAAAAAUAACAAUUAUGCUACCUUAUUUACACAUGAACUUACCUCGGUACAAAAUUUUUAACAAUCGAGCCUAUUCCUCGUAAACUUUGUUUUUCCCUCGAUCACGACUUGAAUCUCGUUUCUCUUGAUCUAUAAUACCAAAUAAAUCUUAUUUAAUACAUACAUUCAUUAAAACAGUCCUUAAUACGAACUUUGGCAAAAUUACCAUUUUGCCCCUAAACUUUUGCAUAAUUACACUUUUGCCCCUAGGCUCGGGAAUUAAACUUCAUCCCUUAUAAUCAUGUUUUAUGACAUUCUGAUCAUUUUUUCCUUCUAUGGAAACAUCAAAUUCUCACUCUAACAUGUAUUUAUGACUACUAAAUAUUUUUACCGAUUAAGCCUUUUUACUCGUUUUUACUCAAAACCGAGUAGCACAAGUUGUCUAACAAAAUUUAAAACCUCAUAUUCUGUCAUAAAACACCAAAAUACACCAAUUUCACCUAUGGGUAUUUUUCCAAAUAUGAACAUAGGUUGAAUUAUUGUUAACAUAAGCCAAAUCGAGCUACCGGGAUUUCAAAAAUAUAAAAAUCAUUAAAAACGGGGCUUGAAAUCACUUACUAUGAAGUUUGAAAGUUGAAGAAACCCCAGCUAUAGAGGAGAGCAAAAAUCGGAAGAACAAUAUGGAGAAGAUGAUCAUUUUGGGUUAUUUUUCCUAUUUUUAUUUCAUUUAAUAUCCAAAUGACCAAAAUACCCUUACUACUAAACUUUCCAAAAAUUCCUUCCAUGUCCUAAUUUUUUCCAUGAACUUAAAAUUGGUCAAAUUACCAUUUAAGACCACCUAAUUAAUAUUUCAAGGCAAUUUCAUACUAAAAACUUCUAGAAUGCAAGUUUUGCAACUUAUUCGAUUUAGUCCCUAACUUUAAAUUAAACUCGUUAUGCCAAAAAUUUCUUCACGAAAUUUUCACAAAAUUAUGCAAUCAUAUCAUAAACCUCAAAAUAAUUAUAAAAUAAUUAUUUCUAUCUCAGAUUUGUGGUCACGAAACCAGUAUUUCGAUUAAGCCUUAAUUCGGGAUAUUACAACUCUCCCCCCCUUUAAGGAUUUUCGUCCUUGAAAAUCUUACCGGUAAACAAGUGUGGGUAUUGGUUUCUCAUAGUUUCUUCAGGUUCCCAUGUAGUCUCUUCUACCCCGUGCUUUUGCCACAAUACUUUCACGAAAGCGACACUUUUAUUUCUUAGUUUCUUGACCUCUUGAGCUAAAAUCUUAAUCGGUUCUUCUUCAUAAGUCAUAUCCGGUCGUAGUUCAAUUUCUGUUGGUGAAAUUAUACGUGAAGGAUCCGAACGAUACCGACGUAACAUAGAUACGUGGAACACAUCAUGGAUCUUUUCUAAUUCAGGUGGUAAUGCUAGCCGAUAUGCUACCGGUCCAACUUUUUCAAUUAUUUCAUAUGGUCCAAUAAAACGCGGACUUAACUUGCCUUUCCGGCCAAAUCUAAGGACUUUCUUCCAUGGAGACACUUUUAAAAAUACCUUAUCACCAACUUGAAACUCGAUUUCCCUUCGUUUCAAAUCCGCAUAAGAUUUCUGUCUAUCUGAAGCAGCUUUCAAACAAUCUCGAAUCACUUUCACCUUUUCUUCGGUUUCUUUUAUUAGAUCAACUCCAUAAAUCUGAUUUUCCCUAAGUUCAGUCUAAUACAAUGGCGUCCGACAUUUACGACCAUACAAUGCUUCAUAAGGUGCCAUCUUCAAACUCGUCUGAUAACUAUUAUUAUAAGCAAAUUCUACCAACGGUAAGUACCUUUCCCAACUACCUUGAAAUUCCAAUACGCAACAUCUAAGCAUGUCUUCAAGAAUCUGAAUUACUCUCUCUGAUUGUCCAUCAGUUUGUGGAUGAAAGGCAGUGCUUGUAAUAGCCCGAUUUUAGGCUUAGUCGGAACAGUGGUUUCGGGACCACAAAUCCGACGAAAAAAAAAUGUAAUGGCUUGAAUUUUCAGAGGUGUUGGAACGGUGAUUCGAGAUCACUAAAUUCGACAAAUGGGUAGAAAAUAUUAUUAAUUUAGUAAGUAUAAGUUAAAUAUGAAGUUAGGAAAAUUUUUGAAAUAGUGAAUAGUGCACUAGAAAUAAAUAUUAAAAUAAUUAGAAUCGAAAUGAGGUAUCAAGACCUCGGGGAUUUUAAACUGAGCCAUAAAUAUUUUUAUAAAUAUUUAUGGAGUGUUAAAAAGUUAGUAUUAAAGUUUCGUUAAGAAAUUUUAAAGUUCCGAUAAUUAAUUGAACAAAAAGGACUAAAUUGUAACAAAUGCAAAAUUUUGGGAAAUGAUUAAAUAGCUUAAAUGAUAAAAGGAAGAGGGCUUAAAAAGCAAAUAGACCCAAGGUCUAUUUGGGCUGGACGGCAGAGGCAUGAAAUCAGCAAGAAAGUAAGGAGAAUUAAGGGCAAAAUUGGAAAAUUGCAAAAUUUGCUUAAUAAAGUUAGGACCCAAGUGGAAUUAUCUAGAUUUCUCUUCAUUUUUCUGAAUUCUCAUCAGCUAAAACACCAUGGAAGGGCUUCUUCAAGCUGGUUCUUCAUAUUUUUAUUACAAGUAAGUUCAAUUCUUGACUAUUUCUUGAAUUUUUUGUAUUUUUAUGACUUUUACAACUAGGCCCACUUGUUAAAUUCAUUAGUUUUUGAUUUUAUGAAAGAAUUUGAAAGUUGAUAUGAAUAUGUGCUGGAAGUAUAUGAUGAUUUAGCAUGAAAUUAGAGCUUUAAAUUGUUCAUAUGCUGAUUUUAUUGAAAGAAUUGAAUAGAAAGUGAAUUUUUGGGACCUAAUAGUAAAAGAGUUUGAAGAUAGAGUUAUAUGUGGAAAUUCUGAAUUUCAAUAGUUGUGUAACAACUUAUAAUGUCUAGUAAAGUACUAAUUGAGAAAAUUAGAUUAAUUGAGGGGUUAAUUGAGAAAGGACCGAAUUGUAUAAACUGUGAAAUUUGGGGCAAAAUGGAAAUCAACAUUUUGCACUAAAGCAGUUUUGGACAGCAGCAGUAGUGUAACUUUGAAAAAUCACCAAAAAUUGUAGAGAUUGAAUUAGAGGAUGAAUAAAAUAUGAAAUUAAAUCUUAUUGAGUCUAGUUUCUUAUAAAAGAAAUGAUGUGAGCAAUGGAAUUGUAAAUCAUGAGAUAUAAUAGAUUUUGUGAGACAAGGUCAGAAUGAAUUCGGGUUCCCCUGUUCUGACUUUGGAAAAUCAUUAAAAAUUGUACAGAAAUUAUUAUGAGUUAUAGUUUAUAUGGUUAGAAUCCUUAAUGAGUCUAUUUUUAGAAGAAACAAGCUAAAACAUCAUCCGAAUUCUGUACAAUGAGAUAAUUAAUUUUUAGUGAAGAGUGGUCGGAACUGUCAGACAGCGAAACAGGGGAAACUUUAAAGAAUAAACUGUACUAUUUGGCUUAACCAAAAAUUAUGAAAAUUUUAUGGUAUGAAGAUAUGUGAGUCUAGUUUCAGGGAAAAUUAACGGAUCUUAAUUUGGAGCUCUGUAGCUCCGGAUAAAAAUAAUUUAGUGACUCUGACUUGGAUAAACAGCUUUGAAUAUACAUGUUAGUGAAUAUUGAAAUUAUGGUUAAUGUUGUUUAAGUGUGUUAUACACAUUAAGGAUGUGGAAUGAAGAGGAGGAGGAGGAAAAUUGGGAAAUAUAUGAAUGAUUCGUGUAUAAAUGGUCAUAUGUUUGAUUAUAACUCAUAAACGAUGAAAUAUGAAUGAUGCUUAUUUUUGUGCAUUAUUGGUCAUGGUUUAAGCUCAUGUGUGAAAAUAAAGUUUCAUAGUAUGUGUGUAUGGUAUAUUCAGUAUAUGAUUUGGCAUGAAAUAAUACCAUGAAUGGUUUAUGAAUUAACACAUGUUGGUAAGCCUGAUAUAUGAAUAAAUGAUCAAACUGAGCGGAACGCCGGAUUUGAGUACUUCUGAUCAAGUGACAAAGUGAUAAGUGAUAGCUUCAGCUACAUUUAUCUGAUCAAGUGACAAGUGGAAAGUGAUAAGUGAUAGCUUCGGCUACACUUAUCUGAUCAAGUGACAAGUGAAAAGUGAUAAGUGAUAGCUUCGGCUAUACUUAUCUGAUCAAGAGACAAAGUGAUAAGUGGCUACACUUAUCUGAUCAAGAAACAAAGUGAUAGGUGGCUACACUUAUCUGAUCAGGGACAAGUGAUAAGUGAUCAUACGUAAGACCAUAGUUAUACUAUGGCAAAGUGAAAGUGAAGUACUCAAUUUUCCGUGACCGUUCCCUAAUUUGAUUAAAGAUGGUAAGUGACAAAUGGGCCCAAAAGAAUUAAAGUAAAUGGAUAAGUGGUAGUGUAUUUAUAUCAGGACGAUGUUGUUAUUCAAACUAAAGUGAUAUUUUCAUUGCUAAAUUGAGAAUUUCAUAAAUGUGUUAUUGAAUGGUAUAAUCAAUAAACAUUGAGUUAAAUGGUAAAUACGUAUUAGUUUUGAAUUUGAUGUCAUUGAAUUGUACGUGAAUUAAGUGGAAAUUUCUAGUGAUAUGAUUUAAAUUAUGAGCAUGAGAAAUUGCGAAUUGAAUGAAAUGGAAAUGAAGCAUUAAAUUGCAUGAGUAUGUAUCGGGUCUCGCAGGCCCUAAUUAUUAUGAUUAUAAUAUUUUAAGGAUAUAUUGUGAAAAGUUAUAGAAACAUGUUAAUUAUUUUUGAAAGUUUUAAUUUUGAUGAAAUUUUAUAACUCGGUUAAAUACGUUUACAAGUGUAUGUGUUUUGGUAAUGCCUCGUACCCUAUUCCGAUGUUGGAUACGGGUAAGGGGUGUUACAGUGCUAAAAUUUAACUUUGUACCUAAUGCCUCUUGCAAAUUUUUCCAAAACCAUGAAGUAAAUCUCAGAUCUCUAUCCGAAAUGAUUAACAAAGGUAUUCCAUGAAGUCUAACAAUCUCACGGAUAUACAAUUCAGCCAACUUAUUAAGAGAAUAAUCCGUACGUACCGGAAUAAAAUGAGCCGAUUUAGUCAGUCUGUCAACUAUUACCCAGAUGGCAUUUUUCUUCCCCGGAGUUAACAGCAACCCUGAUAUAAAAUCCAUGGUAAUUCGAUCCCAUUUCCAUUCAGUAACCAUAAUAGGCUGGAGUAAUCCCGAAGGUACUUGGUGUUCAGCUUUCACUUGUUGACAAACUAAGCACUUUGAUACAAACUCGGAAAUAUCUCUUUUCAUUCCACUCCACUAGUACAUUUUCUUCAAGUCAUUAUACAUUUUCGUACUGCCCGGAUGAACCGCCAAACAGCCAUUAUGUGCUUCAUACAAAAUCCUUUGAAUCAACUCAUCAUUUUUCGGUACACAAAUCCGAUUUUUAAACAUCAAACAACCAUCAGAACCGAUUCUGAAAUCUGAUCCCAUAUCAGCUUCGCACUGUUUUCUCUUGGCUAGCAAAUCUUCAUCAUUUUUCUGAGCUUCAGAAAUCUCUUGUAAAAACAUCGGUCUUGCUCUUAUCUCUGCUAGAAUCGAACCAUCACCUGAUAUCUUUAACUGAGUAUUCAUAGCUCUCAAAACAAAUAACAACUUUCUGCUUAAAGCAUCGGCAACCACAUUCGAUUUUCCCGGAUGGUAGUCAAUAACAAGCUCGUAAUCUUUCAACAACUCCAACCAUCUUCGUUGUCUCAAAUUCAAGUCUUUUGUGACAUCAAGUACUUAAGAAUUUUGUGGUCGGUAUAUACCCGACACUUUUCACCAUACAAAUAAUGUCGCCAAAUCUUCAAAACAAACACCACUGCAGCCAAUUCCAAAUCGUGAGUAGGAUAAUUCCUCUCAUGAGGUUUUAACUGCCUCGAAGCAUAAGCCACCACUUUUCCUUCUUGCAUGAGUACACACCUCAAACCAUUUAGAGAAGCAUCACUAUACACCACAAAUUCUUUACCUGAUUCGGGUUGUACUAACACUGGUGCCUCUGUUAAUAACUUUUUCAAUUUUUCAAAACUCUGUUGACAUUCUUCCGUCCAUUCAAAUUUAACAUUCUUUCGGAGUAGUCUAGUCAUAGAAGCAGCAAUUAUAGAAAAUCCAUUUACAAACCGCCGAUAAUACCCAGCUAGCCCCAAGAAACUUCUAACUUCGGUUACAUUUUUCGGUGGUUUCCAAUCAACAAUGGCUGAAAUUUUACUAGGAUCAACCCGUAUACCAUCACCUGAAACAAUAUGACCCAAAAAUCCAACUUCUCGGAGCCAAAAUUCACUUUUACUAAACUUAGCAUACAGCUGCUUAUUUCUCAGAGUUUGCAAAACUAUCCUCAAAUGCUCAGCAUGCUCUGUCUCAUCUUUUGAAUAAAUUAAAAUAUCAUCAAUAAACACCACAACAAAUUUGUCCAAGUAUGGCCGAAAUAUGCGAUUCAUCAAAUCCAUAAACACAGCAGGAGCGUUUGUCAAUCCGAAUGGCAUAACUAAAAAUUCAUAAUGACCAUACCUUGUUCUAAAAGCAGUUUUAGGCACAUCCGACUCUUUUACUCGCAGCUGAUAGUAUCCAGAUCUCAAGUUAACCUUUGAAAACCAUGUCGCUCCUUUUAGCUGAUCAAAUAAAUCAUCAAUUCUUGGCAACGGAUACUUGUUCUUGAUUGUCACCCUGUUUAAUUGCCGAUAGUCAACACACAAUCUCAUAGAACCAUCCUUCUUUUUCACAAAUAACACGGGAGCACCCUAAGGUGAAAAACUUGGUCUCACAAAACCUUUAUCAGUCAACUCUUGCAUCUGCGACUUUAAUUCUUUCAACUCUGCUAGUUCCAUUCUAUAUGGAGCAAUCGAGAUCGGAACUGUUCCCGGUAUCAAAUCAAUACCAAAUUCUACUUCCCUGACUUGAGGCAAACCCAACAAUUCUUCUUGAAAUACGUCUGCAAAUUCACACACAACCGGCACUGAUUCAACUUUCUUUUCAACUUCUUUUGUAUUAAUUACAUAUGCCAAAUAAGCUUCAUAACCCUUUUGCAAAUAUCUUUGAGCCGACAUUGAAGAAAUCACACUAAACAAUGCCUCUGAUUUAUUUGAUUCAACCCGCAGAGUUUCACCAUUUUCACACUUUAAUUCUAUAACCUUUUCUUUGCAAUUUACUAUAGCAUCAUGCAAUGUCAACUAAUCCAUACCCAAAAUAAUAUCAAAUUCAUCAAACGGAAACAACAUCAAGUCGGCCGGAAAGUAAUGACCUCGAAUCAUUAAAGGGCAUUUCUUGCAUACUUUAUCAACUAUCACACAUUUGCCUAGUGGAUUCGACACUCUAAUCAUAAAUUUUGUAUUCUCAAUAGGUAUAUUCAUACUAGACACCAGUUUCAUGCAUACAUAUGAAUGAGUAGAACCGGGAUCAAUCAAAGCAUUAACAUUAACAUCAUAAAGAGAAAAUAUACCAGUAAUCACAUCGGGUGAUGAAGCAUCUUCACGCGCUUUAAUAGCAUAAGUUCUAGCCGGAGCCCUACCUUCAGAUCUAACUGCUGCAUCUCUGGCUACAUUCUUACUGCUUGCUUCAUUCCCAGCUUUUCUUGGAUACCUUCCCCUCGAAUCCGCACCACUUGCUUUUGUAUACUGAAAUUUUUCUUUCUCAGCUCUCUCUGGGCAGUCUCUAAUAAAAUGAUUCGGAGAACCACAUCGAAAACAUUCAUUUGCUCUGCACGAACCAUAAUGAUUUCUACCACACUGCUGGCACUCGGGUUUAACAAAUCUCGAGUUCCCUACACUGGCUGCCGAAUUAGUCUGGGACUUAGGACCCACAUUUUGCUUCUUAAAAUUCCCAUAUGAUUGCCCAGCUGAAACUUGGGAACGAGGAUUCAUAUUUCUUGACUUUCCGGGUUGUUGUGAGGGUGCAUUACUCAUUGGUCUUUUCUUUCAAUUUCGUGUCUCAGAUUCUACUUUUUUCUUUUCCUUAAGUAGUUCUUCAGCCUUGCAAGCUCGAUUGACAAGUACCACCAUUUCUUUUAGUUCAAGGAUCCCAACAAAUACCUUGAUGUCUUCGUUGAGCCCGUCUUCAAAUCGUCGGCACAUCUUGGCCUCUGUAGGAACAUAUUCUCUGGCAUACUUACUCAAUCGAACAAACUCUCUUUCAUAUUCUGUGACUGUCAUAUUACCUUGCUUCGACUCAAGAAACUCUUUACGUUUCUGAUCAAUAAAUCUUUCACUAAUAUAUUUCUUUCGAAACUCUUCUCGAAAGAAUUCCCAGGUUACCAUCUCUUUCGGUACCACCGAAAUCAAAGUCUUCCACCAAUUAUAAGUUGAAUCCCUUAACAAAGAUAUAGCACAUUUCAAACAUUCUUCAGGUGUACAAGAUAAUUCAUCAAAUACCCGGAUAGAAUUUUCAAGCCAGAACUCUGCUUUCUCGGCAUCGUCAUCAAUCUUUGCCCUAAAUUCUUCGGCCCCUUGUUUACGAAUUCUAUCAACCGGAGUUCUGUGAAAUUUUAUCAUAUCCACACCCUGAGGCAUCGGAGGUAUAGGUUGAGGAAUUGGGGGAGGUGGGGGAGGUUGUGCAUUUGGGUUCGUACGAACGAACUCAGUAUACCAAGCAUUCACAUUUGGAGAAAGGCUUCCCGAGCCCCUUCUCCUCCUCAUUGACCAAAAGUAGGAGGUGGAUUUUCAGUUGGCACUGCCCCUUUAGUCGGAGCUGGUGCAUUACUCUCUACAUCAUCAGUCGCAGUUGGAUCGGGAUCCAUUUACUAUAAAAAAAAUCAUUUAAUAGGUCAAAAGUUGUCACACUAUCACAAUUUAUACAUAUGGCAUGUAUAGCAAAAUCCGUACAUACAACACAUAGUCCGAGAACCGACUAAACCUACUUUGAUACCACUAAAUGUAACGCCCCCACGCCCGAGACCAUCGCCGGAGUCGAGCUUGAGGUGUUACCGAACAUAAUUUAUCGAAUUAAGAACUUCGAAUCAUUUAUUUCUACAUUCACAGCUUUCUAGCUACCUGCGUCACAUUUACAAGAAAAAUAAUAUCUCGAGUUACAAAACUCGAAAUCAAGAUCCGUAAAUUUUCCUUAAAUAUAAACUCAUAUAUCUAUUUACUAAUUUUUUUAUAGAAUUUUUGGUUGGGCCAAUUAAUACAGUUUAUUAGUUAAAGUUACCCCUGUUUCAGGACUUGACUGGACUGACCUCUGUUUACUACGAACCAUAUUUCUCUCUGUGAAAAGUUUAUAUGACUAUGACGUUUAUUUAUUCCGAAACUAGACUCAAUAAGGAUUCCAAGAAUAUAAAAUACACCACCUAAUUAUUUUUUUAAAAUUUAUGGUAAAUUUAUAAAGUUGGAAUAGGGGAUCCAGAAAUCGCUCUGGCCCUAUUUCACUAAAAUUCAAAUAUCUUAUAACAUAUAAUUCCUUUACUUGUUUCAUUUGUUUUAUAUGAAACUAGACAUACUCGGCCUCAAUUUCAUAUUUAAUCCAUCACCAAAUUCAAUUUCUAUGAUUUUUAGUAAAUUUUCAAACUCAUGUCAGUGUUGCUGCAAUAUUUUGUUUAUGGCAAAUUUCAUCUUUUCAUGAGUUUUUAUGAUCUAGAUAACGUAUUAAACUUCCAUGACAUCAAACAUGAUCUAACUUAGCAUUUUCCAUGACUUAUCAUUAUUAAGCAUUUUCUCAACCAAAUCAUGGCCAUAUCACAAAAUUAUUUACACAAAAUAGGUGUAUUGCUAUACAUGCCAUACUUAAGUUUUACAAGCCGUUUACCAAAAAGAGUCUUUCGGAUAGUGUGAUCGAACCUUCGACCUGUCCCGAUUCCUAAGCCGGCUUGUUCAAAACUACAGUGAAUGAAAAGGAGGGAGUAAGCAUAAAUGCUUAGUAAGUCAUAUGCAAAUAACAAGUAACAUAACAAUACAAUUAUACCAAACAACCUUAGCAUGGUAUCACCAAAACAUAUAUCACAUUUCUAAACAUCAUUAAUCAUCUUACCACCUUAUCGUUGUUGUAUCUAUUUUCAACCCGAAGGUUAAGUACAUACCUGUCCAAAGUGUCCAUUUCACAAUACUUACCAAUACGUCACCUGCAUCUUAAGUGUUCUUCCAUUUCACUAGAAAUUUUACCCGUUGAACACAUCGGAAUAUAACUCGGAUACAUGGAUAAUUUGCACAUAAGUGCCACAUUUGUAGCCAAGCUACCAUGUAACCCGCCCAUAAGUGAACUCGGACUCAACUCAACGAGCUUGGGCGUUCGCAUCCAUAAGUGAACUCGGACUCAACUCAACGAGUUCGGAUGCCUAGUUACAUCUCACGAAAUCGGACUCAACUCAACGAGUUCAGACAUUUCACAUCCAUAAGUGAACUCGGACUCAACUCAACGAGUUCGGAUGUUCAACCAUCCUAGUGACAUGUCACUUGUAUCCUAAUCUAUUCCUAAGGUUCAAACGGGAUUUUCCUCGAACACAUAUCCUUGCCAUCUUCCGUAAAAUACCGAAACCAAUACUCAGUAGCACUUUAUAUUUAAAAAAUAAUACACUUAAUUUGCAUUUUAUUCGAAAAUAACCACAGCAUAUAUUUCAUGAUAAAAAUCAGCAUAUCAUAUAUUUAACAUCAAUAACUUAAAAAUAACAAUUAUGCUACCUUAUUUACACAUGAACUUACCUCGGUACAAAAUUUUUAACAAUCGAGCCUAUUCCUCGUAAACUUUGUUUUUCCCUCGAUCACGACUUGAAUCUCAUUUCUCUUGAUCUAUAAUACCAAAUUAAUCUUAUUUAAUACAUACAUUCAUUAAAACAAUCCUUAAUACGAACUUUGGAAAAAUUACCAUUUUACCCCUAAACUUUUGCAUAAUUACACUUUUGCCCCUAGGCUCGGGAAUUAAACUUCAUCCCUUAUUAUCAUGUUUUAUGACAUUCUGAUCAUUUUCCCCUUCUAUGGCAACAUCAAAUUCUCACUCUAACAUGAAUUUAUGACUACUAAAUAUUUUUACCGAUUAAGUCUUUUUACUCGUUUUUACUCAAAACCGAGUAGCACAAGUUGUCUAACAAAAUUUAAAACUUCAUAUUCUGUCAUAAAACACAAAAAUACACCAAUUUCACCUAUGGGUAUUUUUCCAAAUAUGAACCAUAUGUUGAAUUAUUGUUAACAUAAGCCAAAUUGAGCUACCGGGAUUUCAAAAACAUAAAAAUCAUUAAAAACGGGGGUUGAAAUCACUUACUAUGAAGUUUGAAAGUUGAAGAAACCCCAGCUAUGGAGGAGAGCAAAAAUCGGCAGAACAAUAUGGAGAAGAUGAUCAUUUUGGGUUAUUUUUCCUAUUUUUAUUUCAUUUAAUAUCCAAAUGACCAAAAUGCCCUUACUACUAAACUUUCCAAAAAUUCCUUCCAUGUCCUAAUUUUUUUCCAUGAACUUAAAAUUGGUCAAAUUACCAUUUAAGACCUCCUAAUUAAUAUUUCAAAGCAAUUUCAUACUAAAAACUUCUAGAAUGCAAGUUUUGCAACUUAUUCGAUUUAGUCCCUAACUUUAAAUUAAACUCGUUAUGCCAAAAAUUUCUUCACGAAAUUUUCACACCAUUAUGCAAUCAUAUCAUAAACCUCAAAAUAAUUAUAAAAUAAUUAUUUCUAUCUCGAAUUUGUGGUCACGAAACCACUAUUCCAAUUAGGCCUUAAUUCGGGAUAUUACACACUGAGUGUAUACUCAGAGUACGGUUUAUUUCCGUGAGCAGGUUAGGUACAAAGUGACUAACGUCUCAGCAUCCAAGCCAACUCCUGAACUCAAAUACUUGGUGAUGUAUUGUAUCCUUAGGAAUGGCAUGUACCUAAGUUGUCUUUGAUGUUAUUUUGAUUAUAAAAGAUGUUAGUGAGGAAUGUUAAUUGCAAACUCAUAGAUGUAAAGUGAAUGAUAUAACAUAGUUCAUUUUGAACUAAUUUGAAUGGUUCUUAAGUAUAAAUUUGAAGUUUCUUGUUUAAUGUUGAUAAUACACUUAUGUUGAAUUGUUAUACUAGUAUAAUAAAUGUGUAUUAGAUAUGUUUAAAUCAUUUUUAGGACUGGUUGAAAUGUUGUAUUUAAAUUGCUUGUUAUUAAAGGUUUGUAGGGUUGGUAACUUGAGCUAUAAAGUUCAUUUUGAGUCCACACGGCUUGUCACACGGGCGUGUGAUCAGACCAUGUGAGACACACGGCUUGCACACGGGCAUGUUGAUAGACCGUGUGUCCCCUGCAUCCUUAAAUGUGAAGUCAGGAUAGUACACGGGGAAAAGACACGGCCGUGUAUCUUGGCCGUGUGAAGGACACGGGUUUUAAGCAUGGUCGUGAGUCAAAAUUAUAUGAAAAUGGCCUAAAAAUGGUGAAAAAUCAGAUUACCACACGGCCUAGCCACAUGGGCAUGUGCCCAGGCCCGUGUGCUCCUCUGAUGCCUAAGAAUUUGCAAGUCAGAUUUGCCCACGAGAUGGCUACAUGGCCAUGGGAACCCCACGGGCUGGCCACACGGCCAUGUCCCAGGCCACACGGGCAUGUGCCCCUAUCUUCAAGGAAAAAUUUCCAAAGUUGCCAGUUUAGUUCCGAACCACUUCCAAAGCAUGUAUUGGGCCCCGUAGGUCAAUAUUAGGGACUUUAUAGUGAAAUUUGAAAAGAAUUGAUCUGGAAUGCAAAUUUAUGACUCGAUUUUGUAUAAAUGUUAGUGUAUAAGUCCGGUAAUGCCUCAUAACCCUAUUCCGGUGACAGAUACAGGUUAGGGGUGUUACACGAAAAGUUAUGAAUAAUUUUAUAUUCAUUACAAAAUUUAUCAAAGCCAAUAUUUUCAAAUUCUUUUUCAUGGUCACUUCUUACAAUUGAAAUUAAAUAUCUCACUUGAUUUUGAAUCAUUUUGUAAAUAUAUAUAUUUAUAUAUUUUUUUCUAAAGCCUUAUCUUCUCAAUCAUAAUCCUAGUUCGUCCAAAAAGAUUAAAGUGAAUUAAUUGUAAUAUUUUCUCAUUAAGGGGGUAAAUGCUGGCCACGAGUUUUAAAGCUGUUCUAUACCCAAAGUAAUAAUCAAACCCUCAACCAUUGGUUAAGAUAGGAGAGACAUUUGCUAUCUCACCUAACUUCAGUUGUUAUUUGGAAACUAUAUAUUAACAUAUGCAUCACAUUUAAGAGACAUCUUAGAUAAGCCAACAACAAGAUCUUUCUUAAGAAGUUUAAAAAUGACACACAUGCUAGCAUGUUGUAAUCAUCUAUGUCACAACCAACAAACAUUUUCAUUACUAAUCAUGAAACAAACAUUAAAGGAAUUCAAAUCAUCAAAAUGCACCAUAAAAAUAUUUCCUAACUUAUGACCUACAACCUACAAAUGAAUUUUGUUAUUUAAUACUAAUAAUCUCACACCCAUUAGAUUCAAAUAUUGUUUUAAAUACUUUGUUACAAAGUUGACUAAGAUAAAAAUAGUUAUGCUUAAAGACGGUUGGUACCUACGGUUGUUGUUUUUAAAUAACACAACACUUAAUGAAAGUGUUUGACUACAAUGGUCAUUACAGCUUGGUACUGUAAAAAUUAUGCAAACAAAAACAAAA
rnacentral:lncRNA from 1 species